rnacentral:lncRNA from 1 species
GGUGUAUGUUUACCGACUACUUAAUUAUAUUGUCUCCGUACUUUUGCUGUGAUAUAAAGUAAGCCGACAUAAAAUAAUUUUCUGUGUGACACGUUUUAUUUUCCUGUUAUUAGCGAUUGAUCUCUAAAGGCUGAUAGACAAACCUCACAGGUAAGUCACUAUUAUUUUCUCUUCAAACUUCUACCAAUAGUUUUCAAUAUUCUUUUUCUUUUAAAUUUGAAUGAAAAAUAUUUGAAAUAUUUAAAUUAUGGAAUUAAAAAAAAUUAAUAAAUAAAACAUUUUCUACAAGUUUCUUUAAUGUGUAGCUAUAUAUCUAUUUUGUUAUUUCAGUAAUUUUCAGGAAACGGAAUAACAAAAUUCAUAACAUCGUCUUUCUAUUUUUUUUUUUUUUUUUUUUUUUUUUUAUUUAUUUGUACAUUGAUUUCAAUCCUUUGUAUGUUCUUUUAUUAAAAAUUCAGAAACACUUUAGUCGUGUUCAGAUUCAAAUCUUUGUUUUGCUAAUUUAACAUUAAAAACACUGUUAGAGUUGUUUAUCAUGACUUUAUAUCUCGAAUCUUUAUUUUUCAUGUUUAAGUGUACUUUUUCUUUCUACAUGUCCUAAUUGAAAGAGCAAAUACGAGCAAUGAAUUUCUCAAUGAGUAGCAAUUCUGCUAGAGUGAUAAAAAUCAUCCAAAAUAUUUUAAAAGAAGUAUAUUUCUUUCUUUUUACAAAUAGAAAAAGAUGUUAGAUUUGUGCAAUUAAUCAUUAUGUUGUUUAUGAUUUGUGCUUAUAACUAUCUAAUAUCAUCAGAUAUAAGUACAUCCCACAGAUUCUGCCUAGAAUGAUAUAUGUCCCGGUGAUUAAAUGAUUGACUUCCUUCUUUAAUGAUGAAGCACACUUGUCUUAUAUUUCGCACGUGUGGUUCUUGUAAAUAGUUUUAAUCUGCCGCUAUAAUUAAGACGCUUUUUAAAAUAUCGUGUUAAUCUAAGAUAAAAGACGUUUAAUGACACAGCCAAAAAAUAAUGAGACAGCAUCCCAGUCAAUGUAAAGAACACUGAAAUGUCCAGCCUUAAAUUAUGAACAAUCGUUCAUAUUGUACUGAGAACCUUACUUUACUCCAAUUCUAUAGUUUUGAAUUUAUUCAAUAGAGUAGAACAGGGGUUCGUACAUAAAGAAAAAAAAUUCAAAUUCGUUAAAAACUACGAGUGAAAAAUUCUACGGUCCUUGCUAAGGACAUGCGCACUGAUAUCUCGCGAGCCUUAUUUAUAAUAAUAAAAAGGUAACAGAUACCAUGCGGUAAUCCAACAUUAUAAUCAAAGUAUGACAAAAACCAAAGCUCAUAGAUAAAGACAAAAGUCCAGGAAAACAAGCUAUUUCUAUUCCGUUUGAGGAGUGUUAUACGACAAGGGAAAAUCCGGUGAUUCGCGUUUGUGAUAAAACAUUAACAAAAAAAGAUCGUGGGAUUGUGAAGAAGACAACAGAAACACAUCUGUGAUCAUCGGAGCACAAAUAUUUCGUCAUGGUCAACUUAAGUAUCUUGACUCUCACUAAUAUAUGAACUCGUUCAGUUGGAUACAAAAUUAUUCAAGCUUAGUUUAAGAUAUAUAUGUUUAUCAUUUUUGUUGUCUUUAUUGUGUUAAAGUGUCCCUUUCUCAUUAAGAUCAUCAACAUCUCUGUUUAUUUAUACAUGGGAAAACACACAAUAAUAUUUUUAGAUAACAAACCUUGGAUUCUAGUGUUUUCAAGAGACUUCCACUUGAUUCAAAUAUUUGUCGGUAGUACGAUAGUACUUUGGUCUAUUAUUAGCGAGACGAAUAGUACUCCUUGUUGUACUAUCAAAUUAGAUAGAAACAUAUCAUUAAACUUAAAGGUUUAGUUAAAUAUGUCCGAAAGGCCAAUCCCUCGGCCUCUCUGUAUUUAAGAAUUUAUAAAGUCUCGUGUUUUAAGUCAUUUGCACUUCAUAAUAUAUGAGGCUCCCGCAGGGUCAAAAACGACCUGCGACCUCUGGGCUUUUUAGAGGCGACUUCCGACCUGAGUGCCUUCUAAAAACGACCUACGACCUGUAAAAUUUGGAAAAAAUGACCUCCGACCAACUUCCGUCCUCUGUGUUGGAAAAAAAAACGACCUGCUACCUGUACAUUUCCCUUAAAAACGACCUCUCGACGAAUUUAAAAGCGACCUUGCGACCCUGAGGGGGGUACCCUAUGGGAGCCUCAUAUAUGAAACAGAGACCGAAUACCGUGCGUAACGUCUUGUGUAUACAUUCGUAUGCAUGGAAAAAGAGAAUUAUGGGUAAAUACUAAUAUACAGAUACAAUUAAUAAAAAAAGAAUUUAACCAAUUAAAACAUAGAAUGUUUAACGUAAUGAUUACUAUAAAUUUAUAUUUAUAUUAUGACUGCUGAUUGUUAUAAAUGUUUUGCAAUCAUAUUGUUCACAAUAACGGUUGUCACUAUCCUUAAUGUUUUAUAAUUAUUCAUUUAAAGAAUUCCAUGUACAAGUCAAUUAUUUGGUUGUCUCGUUUGAAAUUCUUUUACGCAUUGAUUAGACUUGGGGUAUAUCUUUCAAAUUGUUAACAACGCUCAAUAGCAAUAUUCGAUCUCGUAUCAACAUAACGGACGUUGCCUCCUUACAUCCUUCGCUUGUUGUGCUGAUUUCUCAUUGAUGUUUUCAUCACAGAUCCUUCGAUUGUGUAAAACCUCUUCAAAGAUCUAUAGAACCUGCAAAUAAUGCAAUUACUCCACCCUUUCUCUUCCUGGAUAAAAAAUGUUUAUAGUAUACUAAAAACGUUUGAGUGUUUAAACCCGGAUAUACCUUUCGUGUGUCUUCCGUAUGGAAAAAGUUCAAUACAAUUUGUACAUGUAAAUAAAUAAGUUAUUUGUCUAGUAGUUAACAGAAAGUAUCAAUAAAGCUUUCCAGAAUUUCCUACACACGUUGUGUCAAUAACGAUACAAAUGGCAAAAUUCAGUCAAGACAAAGGCCUCUUUUGAAAUCUUGCUCGAGCCAAUGUCUGAAUGAGAAGGAAACACAUCCAUGUCGUGAUCAAUUUGUGAAAACGAUUUUAACUGUAGGUGAGGUAGUUAUUGUUUUAAAUGACUUUAGGAUAUCGUUUUUCUACAGAUGACAAUCGUUUUAAUAUCUUUAUAUUGGAAGGUUAAACAACUGUCUUGUAUUAAAUUUACAGAAGUAUCAGAAAGCUCACUAGAUCAAGGUUUUCACACAACAUGUGACAUGAUUAGAACAUCAUAUUUUUGCAAUUUUUCUAAAUUUAGAAGUUUUCAGGCUUUUUUCAGUGGUCAUCAGAUGGUUUUGACAUCCAGUGUUGGUUAACUGGUAAUUGUCAGUUAAUUCAUCAUGUACGUAUGUAAUCCAUGUGUUUAACUUUUAAUCUUGGUAUUUACAUUUUUACACAAAAUAUAUUAAUGAAAGCAUGACAAAUACAUUUGUCUUAUAUUGAGUUUCUGUUAUGUUGUCUCAUUGACGUAAGCACUAUAUUUUGUUUAUUCAUAAUAAUAUAAAGUAUGUUACGCAAGGUUAAAACAUUAAGUGUGUUCCUGAAACAAAGUUGAACGCGGAAGCAAAGCCUUCCUUGAUAACUUUACAUACUUGUUAGAUUCAUGAAGAGCAAGUAGGAUAAUAUUUAUAAAAGCAGGAAAAUUAAAUUUGUGCUAUUAUUGAGUUCUGUAAUGUUUUAUUGACGUAAAUACAAAAUGUUGAUAAUUCAUACUAUAAAGCAUGUAACGCAAGGUUAAAGUGUUCAUUUGUUUCUGAAAAUAAGUUGAAACAACAAAAGACUUCCUUGUUGUUAGAUUCAGAUAGAGCAAGUUCACUUAUUUCUAUGUAAUGAUAAUACAAAUGGUUUUUACAUGGUGUCAAGGUGAUUGUAAUAUCAUACAACGCAAUUAGCACUGAUCUUAAGUGGUGAUAGACUGCAAAAUAAACGGAUUCAACUUAUAAGACUAACACAGUUAAACACGUUACGUUUUUUGACAAAUGAUCUCCAGAUAUUAGAUUGAGCAAUAAGAUAUAAAAAAGAAGAUAUGGUAUGAUUGCCAAUGAGACGAAUCUCCACAAGAGACCAAAAUGACACAGAAAUUACAAACAAUAGGUCACCGUACGGCCUUCAACAAUGAGCAAAGCCUAUACUGCAUAGUCAGCUAUAAAAUACCCCGAAACGACAAUGUAAAACAAUUCAAAAGAGAAAACUAACGGCCUUAUUCAUAAAAAAAAAUUGAACGAAAAACAAAUAUGUAACACAUUAGCAAACGACAACCACUGAAUUACAGGCUCCUGACUUGGGCCAGACACACACUUAAAAAAUGUGGCGGGGUUAAAGAGUUCACCAUGUACCAAUGUACGUACUAUGUUUCGAUUAUAGUACAAUCACAAUAAUAAAGUCUUUCGCAAUCAUGGAUAGUAAAAUAGCCGAACAGGUCUAGAAGCUCCAGAAAGUUAGCGUUUUUCUAUGCAGGAAUACAAUUCAGUUACUAGUAUUAGAUUUUUAAUUUGCAUUUAAAAGAACAAGUUCAUGUGAACUAGAUGGCUGCUUCUUCUUCUUGGUGAUCGUUUUGACAGGACAAGCACAAGUUUCCUCCACACUUCUCUUUUGUUUGAUUUUCUUUCCGCUGUGCUUCGGGUAUAUCCUCCUUCUCUUGAUUCAUUUUCUUUUGUGUGCCUUAAUUCGAGUGUUUUUGAACUACAUGUAGAUGUCUGUGAGUUCAAACAUUUUAUUUUUUCUGAUGAAAUACAGGUUAGUUAGUGAAAAAUUCGGGGACAAUGUAAAAAUACUUUAAUACUUUACGAGAACAUAUUUGAAUACGACUUACAAAUUACGAGAACAUAUUUGAAUACGACUUACAAAUUACGAGAACAUAUUUGAAUACGACUUACAAUUCUUUUACAGAAUGUUCAGUUGUAAGUCAUAGAAAAAACCCAGUUGUCAAUUUAUGCCUCAUUGAAAAAUCUUUAAACGCGUCAAGUAUGUAUUUAUAAUGACCACAUCACUUAAGCAAUUACGUAUACACAUGAAUAAAAGUAGAUGUGGAUAAUUAACAUCAAUGACACAGUGUUAACAAUUCAAAGAAGUGAACAAAAAUAAAAUGCAUCUUCAUUACUUUAAAGAGAGGCAGAAAUUACAGAAAGGACAAUCGCUAAAAGACAAACGACAACAUCAAAAUUCACAAAUGUCUACAGAAACUUUGAAUGAUUCACAAAUGUCUACAGAAACUUUGAACGUGUUGAUGUUACAUGAAUGAAGACUGUAAUAGUGUCACUUGUUAUCAUAAAUGUCUUAAAGGUUUGAUAAAAUUCCUGGUUCGAAAUCCACUAUUUGGUUACAUAAACCUAAACCUCCAACCAAGUGAAGACUCUAAUAAAUGUUCAUUCCAGACUUAAGUAGGAAAUAUGCAAAAUUGUAUUGAUUUAAGAAGUUUAGCCAAUAUCCCUGUGUUCUUUUUUUUUAAGUAACAGUUUCAAAAUCAAAAAGUUAUUAGAAACAGCCCUAGCAACAAUCAUAAACCUAAUUUCUUUCGAAGGUUGGGGAGGGGAAGAGAGAAUAUGAUUACAUUCAAUUCGAAAAUUGAUGCCACAUUGGAGAAUAUACACUAAUGGGCAUAUGCGAGAGAGAGGUGCUACGAGUUGCUAAGACUAAACACUAAAUUUAAUAAUAAACUGUAUAUACAAUGUACACCCCGUUCUUUCUAAAGAAUUUACUAUAUACAGAAUUGACCAUUGUGUUCACUACUUCAUUGGAACUCCGGUUGACGGUUGUCGUAUUGGCAAUCGUACCACGUCUCCUUAUUUUACAUACAUGUACGUGCUAAACAAAAUACACUUUGCCAUUAAAAAAUUCUUAAAUCCUAUUUAAGUAAGGCCCUGGACACAACAAACCAACGAUUAUGUGACUAACAGAGAGAUAAAAAUCACUUCAAUCUCUUAAUUUUCAACAUCGAACAGUCACAAAUCAAACUCAUUCUGCUAUUUUUUAAAGGUACAAUUAAUUGUUGUGCACUGUCUUAUUCUUAAAGGUACUUGAAUGUUUUAUGUUCAAGAUCUGAUUAGCCAAAUGAAUGGUUUUAUCCUUUUUAUGGGAUAAAUUUCAUUUAUUGUUACCUUUGGGAUGACUUAAGAGACUUGGUAGCAACAUGGUAAAUGAAGGUGUUUCCGGUGUUCUAAAAAUGCUGUCAGAUAAAAUAGGUGUAGAUCUUCAUCUAUAUCAUGUGGACAUGCCACAGUUUUAUUCUUUCAAUCAUUUCAUAUGUUAGCAAACAUAAAAUGUUCUAGUAUAUAGUUUCUAGCAAUCGAUGAGCAUGAGUUUUAAGAGCCUUACUUGUCUGAUUAGUGGGAUCAAAUGUGGCAUAUUUGGUGUAAAGUUGACAAUAUGUAUUAAAAAAAUGCAUCGAAGGAUAGUAUAUCGAUUUGUUAGUGUAACUUCUAAAGAAUAUCUUUACUUCUAAAAUAAUGUUUUGGUAUAUCAAUUAACCGUUUCAGAAUCUAAAGAAUCAUGGGUAAUUUCAUUGUUCGUAUCCCAAAAUGAAAAUAACGCCACGUCAUUGGUUAAAUUUCCAUUGUUUAUGACAUGUUUAACCAAUCAGGACGUUGUGGUGUACACUUUUGAAAAUAUUACCCAGGAUGCAUUAGAUUCUGAAACGGCGAAUUCCUCCUUAGUAUUAGAUAGAUACUUUGAACUCGCCAAAAUCAAUGUAAUUGCAGUUUUGAGCCAUAUGACCGCACAUUUAAUCGUGUUUUGAAAAUUACAUUACAGCGAAAAUAGCAAUUGUAUAUGCCUUGCUAAUAAAUUCAUAAUAUUUAAAAUUGUCAACAGCUAGGAUCAACUCAAUUAUUGAUACACUUAUUAUAGUGAAAGCAUUCUCAUUUUGACUUUCUUUCUUUAUCACUUGUUAGUACAUAAUUGUGAGAUUUUCUUUACACUGGACUAACCGGCUCUUUUGAAAUUUCAUGAACCCCAGCCUCUGGGGAACUUAGAUUCCAUGAUUAGAACAAUAAGCAAAGUUAACAGGGUAAACAUGCAAUAAUCUAUCAUCGAUUUUAUUUGUAGUCGGAUUAAUGUUUUAAAAUUUAUGCGUUUGCAUCAAUCAAUUUGAAAUCAUGUUGUAUUCAUAUUUACUUAUGAUAACGACCUAACUGUACAAAUGUGUCUUAGAACUAACCUUCAUUAGAUAAGCUCGAAUUCUAAAUAUCACCGAUAUAUUUAAUGCUUGAACUUUAUUGAAGAAGGCGCUUGUUUUCGAGGAUGAAAGUAUCGGGGAAAUGCGGAAAUCUUAAGGGCUGGUUUUAUUUUUCGAUUAAAUUUUAAAAAUCAUGAUGGUCCAAAUGUAGCAGAGAUUUCAAUAAUUUUAGAUAUUUUCUCAGAAGUGUUAAUAAGAUGCAUUUUUUUCAGCAACAAAAAAUAAGAAAAUAAAAGAAAAAGGUUUCAACCCCCUCACCUCACCCAGAUGCUAAAAUUUGUGGUUUUGAAGUUCAUCCAAAACACUUCAAACCUCAGGGGAUAUUUUCAGGGGAUAUUUUAACAUAAUAAGUGACUUUCCAAAAAAGAAUUUGAAAAAGGGCCUUGUCGUAUCUUGUCCUUUACGGCAUUGCUACACAUAAGUUACACAAUAUACAGAAAGUGCUCAAAACGUUAGCAGCUACUUCUAUUUUUGCCAAUACAGCAUAAAACAUAUAAUCAUUAUUAUAGACAAAAAUAAUGCUAUUUAGAAAUAUUAUAUAAAUGACAAAAAAAAAACAAAUUCAAGUUUACUGAAAAGUUGCAAAUACAUCUGUAUACACUUUUAUACAAGAUCUAACUAGACAAACAAUUGAAAUAAAGAAUGUAAGAUCACGAUAAAAACUAAUUUCUUCUUUAUUACUUUAGUUUUAUGUUGUAUUGUUUGCACUGGUUGUAAUUACGUAAGCUGCAUUAGUGAGGCUUUUAAACAAAUUGAAUGCAUUUAGUAAGUUCUCGUUGAAGAAUAUCUCGGUCAAAAUUGUUAUUUACUACGACCUGGUUACCAUCGUAUGAAUGAACACGUUACAAUUCAAACUUAACUUAAUAUGUAUUGCUGUAUACAGUUUUAAACAUUUAUGAGAGCUUUUAUCCUUAUUCUUAUCUCUUAGUAUUGCACAAGGUCAUGCAAUCUACUGAAUUUGUACAAGAGAUCUAAUGACUACCGAAAUAAACAGCUUUAGGUCAUUGUACGGCCCACAACAAUGAGCAAAGCACAUACUGCAUAGUCAGCUUUGUCCAGCUUCGUUCAACUGUUUUUAAUGCAAUCAUUUUUUUUUUUAUAAAUAAAUAAAAAAUGUUGUCGUAGUUGUCUCAUUUGCAUUCAAAAAAAUAUCUUCUUUUUUUAAUACUAAUCUUAAUGUUGAUUUUAAACUAUAAUAAUUGGCAAGAAAUUAAGCAUAGUGUUGUCAUCUUUCUGUAGGACUUUUGUACUGCCGUUAACGUCUUUGCGUCACGUCACAAAAAUGUUAUUUCACCGGGUCUUACGGUGCUAUUCCCCAUUCAUAAAAUAAUAUUAAAAAAUAACUAUCAAACAAGGAAGUCUCACUCAUUAUAUGGUAACUAUACUGAAAACACGCGAGCAAUACUAACAAAUGAUUUCCGGAACAGUUUUAAAUGUGGAGGUUACACAAGUUGUAGCACGUACCAUUUUUCUAUGCACCAGCCUGGUUUUGUACAGAGAUAAUUCAGCAAAAAAAAUCGUUUAAAAUUGAUUUCCCCUUGGCACAAUUUUAUCAUGCAAACGAGGUUGUUUUGAUCCAAAAACAUAAGUUUUAACGUAAGAAUGCGUCUGUUGUACGUAAAUGAAAUCAGACACGAAAAAACGGACCAACUCGGAACAUUAAGGUAAUAUUCUAUUUUUUUUUUUUAUAGUAAAACACAACUAAAACUUUAAGCAAACUUAUAGUAUCUGGUAAUUAAAUAACGAACUCUCUUCGUAUAAUCUGAUUUCACAUCCGGUCAAAUUUUAAGGUUAGAGAACUUACAUUUACCGAUCGAUGGUUUAUGAAUAAGUUGAUGACAAAGUUGAUAGACAUGAGAAAUUACAUCUUGAAAAUUGAAUCGUGUCUCAUCAAAGAUAUAUGACUGACAACGAUAAUUGUGACUAGUAGAGUAUGAACUGCUGACCCUUCCCGGAAACCUGGCUUGACUUCUGUUUUUGGAGGGUUUCGUAUUGCUUGAUCUGUAGUUUAUCUUGUAGUGUGAAGUGAACGUAUUUUGUCCUUUCGUUCGCUUUUUGUCUUUUGGUCAUGUACGUGUUGUCUGAUUGUCUUUGACAUCCAGUUUUCAUAUCUUCCAUUUAAACAUUGAAUGCAUAUACAUUGUACCUUGAAAUUUACUCCUAUAAAACUUCUAUGUCAGUUUUGGCAUUGGAAUGGAUUAUAAAGAAUGCUAAAGCAACAGUUCAUCGACCGAAGAAUGCUAAAGCAAAAAUUCGUCGACCAAAUCCAAACAGCACUUUAACUUUGAUUGGUAAUGUCCUGUGUUUCUGCAUAUUAUCGCAUGGACAUGGCUUCAUUCUCUAUCCUUCUAAUUCACUCUUGCCUGUCGUUUGUAGUUCUACAGACUUUCAUUCUAGAUAUACGCAUAUUACGCAACAGCAGAUUUAUUUUACGCUUGAAAAUUAAGUUUGAUAUGUGUACCCAUCUUUUUCAGAUAAUUAAGUUUAAUAUGUGUACCCAUAUUUUUCAAAUAAUUAUAUAUACUAAUCUUUUGGCAGAAUUUCUUUAUAGACAAAAGUUUGUUCGACUUAUCUUGUUUUCAAGGACAAAAUUAAAGUAUAAUACGAAACUCAUAAAGAUUAUCCGUUGGCGAUGCUUUAAUAGCACAAUGGACCUCCCCUUUAUUAAUGUUCCUUGUAGUCCGGUAUUUUUACCAUUCUUGUUUACCAUUACUGUGAUGCUCUCUAAAGCCCCAGUCCCACUAGAUCGUGGUGAGGUCGCGGUAUAAGCGGCAUGAAAAUGUUAAUUUUCGUUGCUUUCACGAUUCUACAUCGUCCUCUUUACGCUCUACAAAGAUCCCGCUACGAGUUAUAACGUUCUCACCGCUGCUUAUUUUUGGCGACCUCACUACGCUUAUCAAGAUCUUUCUACGCUCUUCACGUUCUCACUACGAUCCAUACCAUGAGUUAUCCGAUUGCAACACGAANNNNNNNNNNNNNNNNNNNNNNNNNNNNNNNNNNNNNNNNNNNNNNNNNNNNNNNNNNNNNNNNNNNNNNNNNNNNNNNNNNNNNNNNNNNNNNNNNNNNNNNNNNNNNNNNNNNNNNNNNNNNNNNNNNNNNNNNNNNNNNNNNNNNNNNNNNNNNNNNNNNNNNNNNNNNNNNNNNNNNNNNNNNNNNNNNNNNNNNNNNNNNNNNNNNNNNNNNNNNNNNNNNNNNNNNNNNNNNNNNNNNNNNNNNNNNNNNNNNNNNNNNNNNNNNNNNNNNNNNNNNNNNNNNNNNNNNNNNNNNNNNNNNNNNNNNNNNNNNNNNNNNNNNNNNNNNNNNNNNNNNNNNNNNNNNNNNNNNNNNNNNNNNNNNNNNNNNNNNNNNNNNNNNNNNNNNNNNNNNNNNNNNNNNNNNNNNNNNNNNNNNNNNNNNNNNNNNNNNNNNNNNNNNNNNNNNNNNNNNNNNNNNNNNNNNNNNNNNNNNNNNNNNNNNNNNNNNNNNNNNNNNNNNNNNNNNNNNNNNNNNNNNNNNNNNNNNNNNNNNNNNNNNNNNNNNNNNNNNNNNNNNNNNNNNNNNNNNNNNNNNNNNNNNNNNNNNNNNNNNNNNNNNNNNNNNNNNNNNNNNNNNNNNNNNNNNNNNNNNNNNNNNNNNNNNNNNNNNNNNNNNNNNNNNNNNNNNNNNNNNNNNNNNNNNNNNNNNNNNNNNNNNNNNNNNNNNNNNNNNNNNNNNNNNNNNNNNNNNNNNNNNNNNNNNNNNNNNNNNNNNNNNNNNNNNNNNNNNNNNNNNNNNNNNNNNNNNNNNNNNNNNNNNNNNNNNNNNNNNNNNNNNNNNNNNNNNNNNNNNNNNNNNNNNNNNNNNNNNNNNNNNNNNNNNNNNNNNNNNNNNNNNNNNNNNNNNNNNNNNNNNNNNNNNNNNNNNNNNNNNNNNNNNNNNNNNNNNNNNNNNNNNNNNNNNNNNNNNNNNNNNNNNNNNNNNNNNNNNNNNNNNNNNNNNNNNNNNNNNGAUAUCGUUUUUCUACAGAUGACAAUCGUUUUAAUAUCUUUAUAUUGGAAGGUUAAACAACUGUCUUGUAUUAAAUUUACAGAAGUAUCAGAAAGCUCACUAGAUCAAGGUUUUCACACAACAUGUGACAUGAUUAGAACAUCAUAUUUUUGCAAUUUUUCUAAAUUUAGAAGUUUUCAGGCUUUUUUCAGUGGUCAUCAGAUGGUUUUGACAUCCAGUGUUGGUUAACUGGUAAUUGUCAGUUAAUUCAUCAUGUACGUAUGUAAUCCAUGUGUUUAACUUUUAAUCUUGGUAUUUACAUUUUUACACAAAAUAUAUUAAUGAAAGCAUGACAAAUACAUUUGUCUUAUAUUGAGUUUCUGUUAUGUUGUCUCAUGGACGUAAACACUACUAAAACACACCCGCGAAAUCGCGGGCAUUCAAAGCGUGGUUGAAAGUAUGUAAAGUGUUGUAGGAAAAUUUUGUAAAAGAUUUAAUGACUUGAGUAUUUCAGGAAAAGUAUCAAAAGUCAUAGGUACUUGGGGACAGGAAAAUGUAUUUUUUUUUUUAUCCUUCUUCCUUUAUUUCCAAAUUUCCCAUAUUGUUUUGUUUUCUACUAUUUUCAUUAUGAAAAUACAUUUAGUAUAUUAUGAACAUUCUAGUCAGGAACCUGUAAUUCAGUGGUUGUCGUUUGUUUAUGUGUUACAUGUUUGUUUUUCGUUUAUUUUUUCGUACAUAAAUAAGGCCCUUAGUUUUCCCGUUUGAAUUGUUUUACAUUGUCAUUUCGGGGCCUUUUAUAGCUGACUAUCAGUAUGGGCUUUGCUCAUUGUUGAAGGCCGUACGGUGACCUAAAGUUGUUAAUUUCUGUGCCAUUUUGGUCUCUUGUGGAGAGCUGUCUCAUUGGCAAUCCAGUGGCGGAUCCAGAACUUGUCAUAAGAGGGGACCCGCUGACUGACAUAAGGGGUCAUGCUUCAGUGAUUCCAUAAAUAAGCAACCACAUUUUUCCCACGAAAGGGGAGGGGCAGGCCGCCCGCCCCCUUGGAUCCACCUAUGCAAUCAUACCACAUCUUCUUAUUUUUGGGAUCAAUUAAUUUUUGUAAAAGAUUUAAUGACUGAUGAAUUUCAGAAAAAGGUAUCAUGAGUCAUAGGUAUUUUGGGACAGGACAAUUGCUUUCUAGUCCGUGUCCACCUUUUUUUCACCCAAAAUUCCCAUUUUUUUUUUCAAUUAAUUUUAAUAACACAUGAAUAAUGUUAGCGCUCAUCUGUAUAUUAUGAACAUUCAUUACUCUGAAUAAAGUGUAAUUUGCUUUUUACUUUCAAUUCUCAGUUUAAUAAUCGAUCCAAGGCGGUCAUUGAUACAUUAUACAGACCCUCUCUAUUUAAUAAGCUCUGUGACCGCCGUAGAUAGUAAACUUGAAAACGAUAUCAGGUAGAAAAUUCACUUUAUUCGUAGUAUAUCAUAUGUAUGAUCAAAGUAUACAGUAAACGCAAACCGGAAGUCUAAUCGGACUUAAAAUUUCGUCCAAUGACGGAACAAUAUCCGUAUGCCUUUUUUCUCGUUUUUCUCCCAAAAUAACUCAAUCUGAAUAAUUAUAUGAAUGGAUGACAAAUGCGACUUUGCACUGGACCUAUAUGACACAGAGGCAUGAUGAUUAACUUAUUGUGGAAAGAAGAGAAGCGACACACAAAAUGAGGUCUUCUCGUUUAAUAGUAUAGAUAUUUUGUUUAUUCAUAAUAAUACAAAGUAUGUUACGCAAGGUUAAAACAUUAAGUGUGUUCCUGAAACAAAGUUGAACGCGGAAGCAAAGCCUUCCUUGAUGGCUUAACAUACUUGUUAGAUUCAUGAAGAGCAAGUAGGAUAAUAUUUAUAAAAGCAUGAAAAUUAAAUUUGUGCUAUUAUUGAGUUCUGUAAUGUUUUAUUGAAGUAAAUACAAAAUGUUGAUAAUUCAUACUAUAAAGCAUGUAACGCAAGGUUAAAGUGUUCAUUUGUUCUGAAAAUAAGUUGAAACAACAAAAGACUUCCUUGUUGUUAGAUUCAGAUAGAGCAAGUUAACUUAUUUCUAUGUAAUGAUAAUACAAAUGGUUUUUUACAUGGUGUCAAGGUGAUUGUAAUAUCAUACAACGCAAUUAGCACUGAUCUUAAGUGGUGCUAGACUGCAAAAUAAACGGAUUCAACUUAUAAGACUAACACAGUUAAACACGUUACGUUUUUUGACAAAUGAUCUCCAGAUAUUAGAUUGAGCAAUAAGAUAUAAAAAAGAAGACAUGGUAUGAUUGCCAAUGAGACGAAUCUCCACAAGAGACCAAAAUGACACAGAAAUUAACAACAAUAGGUCACCGUACGGCCUUCAACAAUGAGCAAAGCCUAUACUGCAUAGUCAGCUAUAAAAUACCCCGAAACGACAAUGUAAAACAAUUCAAAAGAGAAAACUAACGGUCUUAUUCAUAAAAAAAAAUUGAACGAAAAACAAAUAUGUAACACAUUAGCAAACGACAACCACUGAAUUACAGGCUCCUGACUUGGGCCAGACACACACUUAAAUAAUGUGGCGGGGUUAAAGAGUUCACCAUGUACCAAUGUACGUACUAUGUUUCGAUUAGUACAAUCACAGUAAUAAAGUCUUUCGCAAUCAUGAAUAGUAAAAUAGCCGAACAGGUCUAGAAGCUCCAGAAAGUUAGCGUUUUUCUAUGCAGGAAUACAAUUCAGUUACUAGUAUUAGAUUUUUAAUUUGCAUUUAAAAGAACAAGUUCAUGUGAACUAGAUGGCUCCUUUACUUCUUGGUGAUCGCUUUGACAGGGCAAGCACAAGUUUCCUCCACACUUCUCUUUUGUUUGAUUUUCUUUCCGCUGUGCUUCAGGUAUAUCCUCCUUCUCUUGUUUCAUUUUCUUUUGUGUGCCUUAAUUCGAGUGUUUUUGAACUAGAUGUCUGUGAGUUCAAACAUUUUAUUUUUUCUGAUGAAAUACAGGUUAGUUAGUGAAAAAUUCGGGGACAAUGUAAAAAUACUUUAAUACUUUACGAGAACAUAUUUGAAUACGACUUACAAAUUACGAGAACAUAUUUGAAUACGACUUACAAAUUACGAGAACAUAUUUGAAUACGACUUACAAUUCUUUCACAGAAUGUUCAGUUGUAAGUCAUAGAAAAAAUCCAGUUGUCAAUUUAUGCCUCAUUGAAAAAUCUUUAAACGCGUCAAGUAUGUAUUUAUAAUGACCACAUCACUUAAGCAAUUACGUAUACACAUGAAUAAAAGUAGAUGUGGAUAAUUAACAUCAAUGACACAGUGUUAACAAUUCAAAGAAGUGAACAAAAAUAAAAUGCAUCUUCAUUACUUUAAAGAGAGACAGAAAUUACAGAAAGGACAAUCGCUAAAAGACAAACGACAAUAUAAAAAUUCACAAAUGUCUACAGAAACUUUGAAUGAUUCACAAAUGUCUACAGAAACUUUGAAUGAUUCACAAAUGUCUACAGAAACUUUGAACGUGUUGAUGUUACAUGAAUGAAGACUGUAAUAGUGUCACUUGUUAUCAUAAAUGUCUUAAAGGUUUGAUAAAAUUCCUGGUUCGAAAUCCACUAUUUGGUUACAUAAGCCUAAACCUCCAACCAAGUGAAGACUCUAAUAAAUGUUCAUUCCAGACUUAAAUAGGAAAUAUGCAAAAUUGUAUUGAUUUAAGAAGUUUAGCCAAUAUCCCUGUGUUCUUUUUUUUUAAGUAACAGUUUCAAAAUCAAAAAGUUAUUAGAAACAGCCCUAGCAACAAUCAUAAACCUAAUUUCUUUCGAAGGUUGGGGAGGGGAAGAGAGAAUAUGAUUACAUUCAAUUCGAAAAUUGAUGCCACAUUGGAGAAUAUACACUAAUGGGCAUAUGCGAGAGAGAGAGGUGCUAAGACUUGCUAAGACUAAACACUAAAUUUAAUAAUAAACUGUAUAUACAAUGUACACCCGUUCUUUCUAAAGAAUUUACUAUAUACAGAAUUGACCAUUGUGUUCACUACUUCAUUAGAACUCUGGUUGACGGUUGUCGUAUUGGCAAUCGUACCACGUCUCCUUAUUUUACAUACAUGUACGUGCUAAACAAAAUACACUUUGCCAUUAAGAAAUUCUUAAAUCCUAUUUAAGUAAGGCCCUGAACACAACAAACCAACGAUUAUGUGACUAACAGAGAGAUAAAAAUCACUUCAAUCUCUUAAUUUUCAACAUCGAACAGUCACAAAUCAAACUCAUUCUGCUAUUUUUUAAAGGUACACUUAAUUGUUGUGCACUGUCUUAUUCUUAAAGGUACUUGAAUGUUUUAUGUUCAAGAUCUGAUUAGCCAAAUGAAUGGUUUUAUCCUUUUUAUGGGAUAAAUUUCAUUUAUUGUUACCUUUGGGAUGACUUAAGAGACUUGGUAGCAACAUGGUAAAUGAAGGUGUUUCCGGUGUUCUAAAAAUGCUGUCAGAUACAAUAGGUGUAGAUCUUCAUCUAUAUCAUGUGGACAUGCCACAGUUUUAUUCUUUCAAUCAUUUCAUAUGUUAGCAAACAUAAAAUGUUCUAGUAUAUAGUUUCUAGCAAUCGAUGAGCAUGAGUUUUAAGAGCCUUACUUGUCUGAUUAGUGGGAUCAAAUGUGGCAUAUUUGGUGUAAAGUUGACAAUAUGUAUUAAAAAAAUGCAUCGAAGGAUAGUAUUAUAUAAAUAACACAUAGCUGAGAGGGUGAUAGAGCAGAUUGUUACCCCGAGAAAACAUUGUCAACUGCGGCGAAGCCAAGGUUGACAAUGUCUUUUCGAGGGGUAACAAUCUGCUCUAUCACCCUCUCAGGUAUGUGUUAUUUAAUUUAUUAUACUGAAUGUUCUGUUAUUACUGUCGAUUAAAUUUUAAAUUCAAAGUAAUAAACUAUGACAUCUUGUACAUAACCUUCCGUAUUUAAUAAAGCGCACACUUGAUCAAACGUCUCCGUGAAGGGUAAUAGAGUAUUUGCCAAAGGAUAGAUUCGUAUUUAAUAAAGCGCACACUUGAUCAAGCGUCUCUGUGAAGGGUGAUAGAGUAUAUGUCAUAGGAUAGAGUCGUAUUUAAUAAAGCGCACACUUGAUCAAGCGUCUCCAUGAAGGGUAAUAGAGUAGAUUGACACCCUCGUAUUAGCCAAUCAAAAUCUGGCAUUUUGACAUGAAGUAUAAUAAAUCGAUUUGUUAGUGUAACUUCUAAAGAAUAUCUUUACUUCUAAAAUAAUGUUUUGGUAUAUCAAUUCCUUCUUAGUAUUAGAUGAGGCCCCUCAUGUGGGGGGGGGGGGUCCUAGUAAUCACAUAAUCACCAUUUUUUUGCCAAUAUAAUCACAUAAUCAUUAAAUAUUUGCUUAUCUUUAGUAAUCAAAUAAUCAUAAACUAAAAAUACAGUCCUAGGUAAUCAAAUAAUCAUGAAAUAUUUGGCUUAAUAAUCAAAUAAUCAUUAAAAAAACGGCCAAGUAAUCACAUAAUCAAAAACCCCAUGAGGGCCCUCUUAGAUAGAUACUUUGAACUCGCCAAAAUCAAUGUAAUUGCAGUUUUGAGCCAUAUGACCGCACAUUUAAUCGUGUUUUGAAAAUUACAUUACAGCGAAAAUAGCAAUUGUAUAUGCCUUGCUAAUAAAUUCAUAAUAUUUAAAAUUGUCAACAGCUAGGAUCAACUCAAUUAUUGAUACACUUAUUAUAGUGAAAGCAUUCUCAUUUUGACUUUCUUUCUUUAUCACUUGUUAGUACAAAAUUGUGAGAUUUUCUUUACACUGGACUAACCGGCUCUUUCAAAAUUUCAUGAACCCCAGCCUCUGGGGAACUUAGAUUCCAUGAUUAGAACAAUAAGCAAAGUUAACAGGGUAAACAUGCAAUAAUCUAUCAUCGAUUUUAUUUGUAGUCGGAUUAAUGUUUUAAAAUUUAUGCGUUUGCAUCAAUCAAUUUGAAAUCAUGUUGUAUUCAUAUUUACUUAUGAUAACGACCUAACUGUACAAAUGUGUCUUAGAACUAACCUUCAUUAGAUAAGCUCGAAUUCUAAAUAUCACCGAUAUAUUUAAUGCUUGAACUUUAUUGAAGAAGGCGCUUGUUUUCGAGGAUGAAAAUAUCGGGGAAAUGCGGAAAUCUUAAGGGCUGGUUUUAUUUUUCGAUUAAAUUUUAAAAAUCAUGAUGGUCCAAAUGUAGCAGAGAUUUCAAUAAUUUUAAAUAUUUUCUCAGAAGUUAAAAGAUGCAUUUUUUUCAGCAACAAAAAAUAAGAAAAGAAAAGAAAAAGGUUUCAACCCCCUCACCUCACCCAGAUGCUAAAAUUAGUGGUUUUGAAGUUCAUCCAAAACACUUCAAACCUCAGGGGAUAUUUUCAGGGGAUAUUUUAACAUAAUAAGUGACUUUCCAAAAAAGAAUUUGAAAAAAGGCCUUGUCGUAUCUUGUCCUUUACGGCAUUGCUACACAUAAGUUACACAAUAUACAGAAAGUGCUCAAAACGUUAGCAGCUACUUCUAUUUUUGCCAAUACAGCAUAAAACAUAUAAUCAUUAUUAUAGACAAAAAUAAUGCUAUUUAGAAAUAUUAUAUAAAUGACAAAAAAAAACAAAUUCAAGUUUACUGAAAAGUUGCAAAUACAUCUGUAUACACUUUUAUACAAGAUCUAACUAGACAAACAAUUGAAAUAAAGAAUGUAAGAUCACGAUAAAAACUAAUUUCUUCUUUAUUACUUUAGUUUUAUGUUGUAUUGUUUGCACUGGUUGUAAUUACGUAAGCUGCAUUAGUGAGGCUUUUAAACAAAUUGAAUGCAAUUUAGUAAGUUCUCGUUGAAGAAUAUCUCGGUCAAAAUUUUUAUUUACUACGACCUGGUUACCAUCGUAUGAAUGAACACGUUACAAUUCAAACUUAACUUAAUAUGUAUUGCUAUAUACAGUUUCAUACAUUUAUGAGAGCCUUUAUCCUUAUUCUUAUCUCUUAGUAUUGCACAAGGUCAUGCCAUCUACUGAAUUUGUACAAGAGAUUUAAUGACUACCGAAAUAAACAGCUAUAGGUCACUGUACGGCCCACAACAAUGAGCAAAGCACAUACUGCAUAGUCAGCUUUGUCCAGCUUCGUUCAACAGGUUUUUAAUGCAAUCAUUUUUUUUAUAAAUAAAUAAAAGAUGUUGUCGUAGUCUCAUUUGCAUUCAAAAAAAUAUCUUCUUUUUUUAAUACUUAUCUUAAUGUUGAUUUUAAACUAUAAUAAUUGGCAAGAAAUUAAGCAUAGUGUUGUCAUCUUUCUGUAGGACUUUUGUACUGCCGUUAACGUCUUUGCGUCACGUCACAAAAAUGUUAUUUCAUCGGGUCUUACGGUGCUAUUCCCCAUUCAUAAAAUAAUAUUAAAAAAUAACAAUCAAACAAGGAAGUCUCACUCAUUAUAUGGUAACUAUACUGAAAACACGCGAGCAAUACUAACAAAUGAUUUCCGGAACAGUUUUAAAUGUGGAGGUUACACAAGUUGUAGCACGUACCAUUUUUCUAUGCACCAGCCUGGUUUUGUACAGUCUGAGAGAUAAUUCAGCAAAAAAAAAAACGUUUAAAAUUGAUUUCCCCAUGACAUAAUUUUAUCAUGCAAACGAGGUUGUUUUGAUCCAAAAACAUAAGUUUUAACGUAAUUAUGCGUCUGUUGUACGUAAAUGAAAUCAGACACGAAAAAAACGGACCAACUCGGAACAUUAUGGUAAUAUUCUAAUUUUUUAUAGUAAAACACAACUAAAACUUUAAGCAAACUUAUAAUAUCUGGUAAUUAAAUAACGCACUCUCUUCGUAUAAUCUGAUUUCACAUUCGGUUAAAUUUUAAGGUUAGAGAACUUACAUUUACCGAUGGUUUAUGAAUAAGUUGAUGACAAAGUUGAUAGACAUGAGACAUUACAUCUUGAAAAUUGAAUCGUGUCUCAUCAAAGAUAUAUGACUGACAACGAUGGUUGUGACUUGUAGAGUAUGAACUGCUGACCCUUCCGGGAAACCUGGCUUGACUUCUGUUUUUGGUGGGUUUCGUAUUGCUUGAUCUGUAGUUUAUCUUGUAGUGUGAAGUGAACGUAUUUUGUCCUUUCGUUCGCUUUUUGUCUUUUUGGUCAUGUACAUUUGCACAUGUUGUCUGAUUGUCUUUGACAUCCAGUUUUCAUAUCUUCCAUUUAAACAUUGAAUGCAUAUACAUUGUACCUUGAAAUUUCCUCCUAUAAAACUUCUAUGUCAGUUGAGUUGGUGUGUGGUGAAGAGUUGUCUCAAUGGCAAUCAUACCAGAUAUUAAUAUUUUUAUAAUUAAGUAUAAUAACAUAAUUAACAGUCUUUUUUUUUAAUAAAUGAUGACAAUAUUGCACGUUUGAGAGUCAUUAGAAUUGGAAUGGAUUAUAAAGAAUGCUAAAGCAAAAAUUUGUCGACCGAAUUCAAACAGCUCUUUAACUUUGAUUGGUAAUGUAGGUGUGUUUCUGCAUGUUAUCGCAUGGACAUGGUUUCAUUCUCUAUCCUUCUAAUUCACUCUUACUUGUCGUUUGUAGUUAUACAGACUUUCAUUCUAGAUAUACGCAUAUUUCGCAACAGCAGAUUUAUUUUCCGCUUGAAAAUUAAGUUUGAUAUGUCCAUCUUUUUCAGAUAAUUAAGUUUAAUAUGUGUACUCAUCUUUUUCAAAUAAUUAUAUAUACUAAUCUUUUGGCAGAAUUUCUUUAUAGACAAAAGUUUGUUCUUGUUUUCAAAAACAAAAUAAAAGUAUGAUACGAAACUCAUGAAGAUUAUCCGUUAGCGAUGCUUUAACAGCACAAUGGACCUCCCCCUUUAUUAAUGUUCCUUGUAGUCCUGUAUUUUUACCAUUCUUGUUUACCAUUAAUGUGAUGCUCUCUAUUGAAAAAAACUAUGACCGAUAUUAUUGAAUUUUAUUACCAUAGAAAUGCUCUUCCUAAACUAUGUCAUUACUUGCAUAUAAGGUACACGUUUACGUAAUGCAUUCAAAUAAACAGUAUAAAACUAAAUAUUGUAACUGGUUUUUGGAACAAUUAAGAUUCAUGACCAUAAAUUUGCGAAUAUAAUCAGAUGUAAAAUGUUCUAUUUGAAUUCUAAACCCAUUCAAAUCUAGUGAAAUAGAAAAGUUCUCAUUUAUUGAGAGAAAUAAUUAAAGAAAAUAACAAAUAGAAAAUAGUUUUCUUCCUGUUACGUUUUUCUAUGUAAUUUGUAGCACGUAACAGAUAUAAUUAGUUGUAUGUUGAACAAGCACAUAACUGAAAAUGUAUUGGUUAAUAUAUAUUAAAUUGGAUAAUAUGUCAAUUAAAGCUCGAUUGUGUAAAACUCGGUUGAAAAAGUCAUUCAAAAACAUAAUUUGUAAAAAAAAAUAUUAUUCGAAAUUGUAUUAUUUGACUUGCGUUAUAUGACCGAUUCAUCAAGCUUCCUUGAUUUUUUUUUAUAUUUUCAAAGCACGUAAAACUGCAUUCUACAUAGAAAUGAAUAAAUUCUAUGUGAUGUGUUUUGUUCAAAUUUACAGAUCUGUUAAUGUCGAUUCAAUUCCGACCUUCAGCUUUAUAACAUCUGUAUUUUGCAUAUCAUCUAAAACCAUCAAUCAAUUAUUAAUUCAGACAUAGAAAUAUAAUUAUCCUCAUGAAAUUAGAUAAGAAUUCAAUAUGAUAUUAAAAACAUAUCUACUUUGUAUAUACACAGAAACAUACAUAUACACAUUAGAAAGGCAUAAGAUGGGUUGAAAUAAAUAUAUGUAAAUGCUAAAGCAGAACCGUUUAAUAUAACUGACCUUCGAAUAAAAACUAUAAACUUAAAUAAAAUUGAGAAUGGAAAUGGGGAAUAUGUCAAAGAGACAACAACCCAAUCAAAGAUCAGAUAACAGUCGAAGGAAGUGUAAAAAUAGAAACAUUUUGUGUGAGUGUUCUUCUUUUCAAUUUGUUUGAGUGAUUGAUACCUUCCAUUGGUAUUUUUAAACCUAAUAAUUCAUUUUCAGCUUACUCUUAUUUUUGGACUUAAAAAUAUGGUCGCAUCGAUAGUUUUGCAACCCUUUCCUUUGUUGGGACGUCUAUGAAAACGAGAAUACGCAUAACUCUAAGCACGACUCUUAUUUUCUGUAAAUUGGACUCGAUCGUUAUGUUAACAAUUGGAACGUUAAGACAUUCUAACAAAAGUGAAACUUCCUGUGUAGAAAUAACUUAAAAACAAGUUUUUCCUGAAAACGAAAAGAACCCGAAUUUUGAUCAAACAUUGCAUGACAUAAUUUGUGUCCAUGAAAGAUGUUACGCAAUCAGAAACUUAUUUUCCGAUCAAAUUUGAAACAAGCGGAAAGCGACACUUAAACCUAAAAAGGUAUAUAAGUUCGAAUUGAAAUAUAUAAUGAAAACAUCGUGCCGUAAGGUAUUAAUUUAAAAGGAUUAUUUUCGUGUCCUGGGCGAACAAGAAAGGUUAGAUCGUUAUCCGUAUUGCAUGCAAGUUAUAUCAACGAAAAAGGAACACUUUAAAAGACAACAUCAGUCUCUUUAUUACUUUAAACAUUUUCUAUUUUCAGAUAGAAAAGCAAAUGUAAAAUGUUUACGGUGCAUUUUGUAUUCAACAGAUCAAUAACUAUUAUAGUAUACUAAUACAAUCUACAAUGUAUCAUUCACUUUAUAUUUUAAAUUGAAAGACGCCACUUUUGGAUUACUGUUUUGUUGUGUAUUUAACUUGGUCAACUAUUAACUCAGCUAUUAGCCUAAAUGCGCAUGGCUUAAAAAAAUAAUAGAUCAUGCUAUUAGUACAGAAAAUCUUCUGUAGCUAAUGGAAGUUUGUGACAUGUAUUACCUUUGACUAAUUAAGAUUUACUUUGAAACAAUUCCGAUAACACUACAAAUUAAAAACAUCAAUUUUGGUGCCUUUACGAUACCAUCAACAGCCGUUAGACAUGUUUGUAUGUUUUGUUCAUGAUAAACACAAUUUUCAGUUGAUCUUUAUCAAUUGUGUGAAAAAUCACACGGUUUCGUACUCAGAUUAACGUGUAUUAAAAUGCUUCACUAUAUAUCAUGUUUCAACAUUUUUAAUUGUUGCUUUACGCUCAAACAAUCAUUUACCAGUGGCGGAUCCACAAGGGGUGCCCACUGACUGCCUAAAAGAAGACCCACUCCAGUCAUGCUUCAGUGAUUCCCCAAAUAGUGAACCAAAUUCCCCCUGUUCACGGCCUUAAUAAACCAAAACGUCAGUUUAAUUUCAUUAUUCUUCAAUUGAUUACUUUGUAAGGAGAAGUGUAUUAAAAUUUCAUGACUUUUUCUCUCUCGUGAAACUUCAUAACCCGAUUUACCUCAUUUUUUAAAAAAAAUCUAAGCUUUCCACUCUUUGUUUGUUUUUUACUAAGAUGCAUAGUUUGAGGUAUAUUCUUUCUGCUAGAGUAUCAAUUCACGGGUAAAAACGAAUGCACCAAGAGCGAAAUAUAUACACAAUUUGGCGAUACACUGGGUUUUAGAUAAAUUUAGCAUGGAAUUAAAACUCAAAAACUGCAUAUGAAUAUCAUACAUAUUAUAUGCAUACAGCUUUUAUACCUUCAGAGAAACAGUAAAAGUUUGUUCGAUGAAAUAGAUCUGUAAAAUUAUAUAUGGUACGUAAAAAUGGUCGCAAAGUGCAUUAUUUUAUAUGCGAUUCCUCUCAAUUCAAUUUAUAACAUUAUGAACCUUCCCUGUUAUCAAAAGAUUUAUAUGCAACGUACAACGCUUGAUUUAUAUCAUUAAAAUAUAAUGAGAUCACGAUGUGGGAAUGCCAAUGACACAACUGUUCAGCAAAGUUCAAACAAAGUAAAUGUUAGCAAUUGUAGGUAAUUGUAAGACCUUCAACAAUGAGAAAAACCCAGUCCGUAUAGUCGGCUACGAAACACGGUUUAUUACAUGUAAAUACUCUUUUUAAUGAAGAAAUGAAACCCUUUUUUUAAUAUCUGUUCCGGACCAUAUGAGUAUUUGGAUCAUACGCGUAUGGUUGGGGUAAGUAACAGGUUUACUUUUAAUACUUAAAACUUUUCGCAUAACCCUUCUAGUUGUCACGUCAUUUGAAAAAAAGACAUUAACAAAGGUCAGGAAUAACAUUUUAUACCUAUAGUCAUUACCGAUAAGUUAUUACGAGUGAUCGAAUGGCAAAAUAUCGACUUGGGAAGAUAACUUCCAAAAAUAUCUGACACAAAAAAAGUGAACUGUUUUACUAUAAACUGACGUCAAAGUCGACAUGGAGGAUAAAGAGUCUACUACGUAUAUAGCUUGUUGUUGGUGUGAGCCAAGGCUCCGUGUUAAAGGCCGUACAUUGGCCUAUAAUGGUUUACUUUUAUAAAUUAUUUGGAUGGAAUGUUGUCUCAUUGGCACUCACACCACAUCUUCCUUUAUCUUAAUAAUUUGCUUACUUUUGAAACUUUAUGUAAUUAUCGUUAGCAGUUCAGAAUCUUGUUACUUAUACAUAAUUUUGUUUUUACAUUUUAUGAUAUUGAAGAUCUAGAGCUUCUUAAAACACCAUAGACACAUCGGAACGACCCAUUACCCAAGAAAAGCUAUGGUACCGUGUGGAAGUAAAUCAUGCAAGAAUACAAUUAGCGAUGAAAACUAACUUUGGCAAUGAUAUUCAAUGUUUAUGUAGCCUUUGAAUUAUAAAAAAGGGACGACAGAAACCAGAGGGACAGUCAAACUGAUAAAUCGAAAAUAAACUGACAACUCCAUGGCUAAAAAUGAAAAAGACAAACAAACAAUAGUACACAUGACACAACAUAUAAAAUUAAAGAAUAAGCAGCACGAACCCCACCAAAGACUAGGGGUGAUCUCAGGUGCUCCGGAAGGGUAAGCAUGUUCUGUUAAUAAUACAUUUUCAUGUAGACAUCAUUGCUUUUUUUAUAAAGUUUUCUAAUGCAUAUUAUUGAAAAAAAAUACUUAUAUGGUCCAAAUACUCAUAUGGUCCGGAACAUAUCCAAGCAUCAAGCGUCCGUUUAUCGCUUCGGUUAGCGUCAAAUAGAGUAAAAUGUUUAUCGUUAAAGUUUUUUUUUCCAAAAUGUUUUGCCGUCAUUCGUUAUAUGGGGUACCACAUUCCUAUCCUCUUUAAUAUGAUGUAUGCAUUGAUUAAACUUUUGAUUGGCACCCUUGGUGUGUGUAUCUGUUGAACUGAUAGGUCAUUGUGUCCGUUAUAAACGCGACACAGAAAUUGUCACAAGAAAUGCCCAUCCUCUGCUUAACACACUGAUAAAGAUUAUGUGACCAAGAAAACCACGCGUGACGCGAAAGAAUUAGCGUCGUAUAAAACAAAAUAUUUUGACCUGAAAAUAACGAUUAGAACAAGCGUCGUAAAUAUUGGAGUCGGAAGAGAUCGUAAUCUUAUAUCGUUAUGAAUUGUAAAUAAUAAGUGGUAAAAAUAUACGAAUGCAACAAUUAUACGUGUAGGGUGAUUAUUUGAUUUGUAAUAAACGGAACAAAAUGUGGGAAGUCCCUUAUCAUUCUGCAAGUACUUUCUAGUCUAUAAAUCUCUAAGUAUAUCUGUACCACCAUUUUGUUGGUCAUCUUGUACGUUAUUUAUUGGUCGCUAUAGUUUCUUGUGAAAGUUGUAAAGUAAAAUGACCACUCACACGAUAAUUUCGGAAGAUAAGAAGACUAAUAAGCUAUAAUGGCCAAAACUUAAUCAAAUUGUGUUUCCAAUAAAACUUUAGAAAUAAACAAAAUUAUUUACUUUCCAUGAUUAAUCUGACUUGAUUGUUUAUUGUAUCCUUCAUAAAUUUCAUAACUUGACAUUUAUUUGUUUAGACAUUUUUGUUACAUAUUUCUUAAUGGUCGAACUGAGAUCAAACUUACAUUAACAGCUACUAUGGUAAGAAAACAUUUUAUUUUUUUAAUUCUAAAAUGAUAACUAUAUAUACUAACCUUCAAACGACUUCCACAUGUCUUAUUGGUGUUUUGUUUUAACCAAAAUUAAAAAUCGUACACGAAUAACAAAAACCAGAGGCUCCUGACCUGGGACAGGCGCAAACAUGCGGCGGGGUUAAAGUGUACGUUAUAUCUAUUUUAAAGGAAGUUCUAGUAUAGUAAAAAUUCACGCGUGCUAUUCGCUGUACACAUUUUGAAGAAGUCUUAGUUUUUUUUAUCAUGCUAUAUUUAGAGGUACAUAUUUAUGGGAUUGUUUUCCAUAUAUUAUAGACAAUACUUGUUUACCGAUGUUAAAUACUCAAAAAACUUAAAAGCAAAAUAUGCAUUAAAUUUUAACAGCUUUCAAAGACAAUUGGUCAGUAAGUGCAGCCGAUGUUUUCCACAAGGAAACAGGGCACAUCAAUAUGAACAAAAGAAAAUCUGUUGGGUACAAACUACUGAAUAUUUUAAAAAUCAUAUGACAAAAUAUAAAAAUCGAUUGGUUUUUACUUAAAAUGCAAAUAUAACAAAAUAGUAUCCUCAUUGUAAGCGAUAAUAUUGAGUUUGCAAGAGACCAAUUCUUGCUUGUAUUAUCUAUACGCAACACUAUCAGUUUUUAAUUUUGCUAUGUCACGUUUAAAAAAAUCGAACUGGUAUAUAUUCUUACGAGACAUAAGUUUCGGGUGUUUACAUUAGUUUAAUGAGUUUCGGGUGUUUACAUUAGUUUAAUGAGUUUCGGCUGUUUAAAUUAGUUUGAUGAAUGCAAUGUGAUUUUCGUAUCAAGACAUUUCGAGGAGAAUCAUUUCAGACCAUAGCCUAAGCUGUCUGUAACUAAUUUAGAAAAUAUUUAACAACUGAAAUCGUUCCAGGAAUAAUGUCAAAUUUAGCAUAUCAUCAACAAUCAUUUUGAAAAGUGCAAAAUAAAGUUAAUACUAGCAUCGUUAAACUAGUUUGUACGCAAGCACAUGUCAUCUAGUUCUAUUUUUAUCAUGUCAAUCAUAUUCAAUGAAUGAUAAAAAAAAGGAAAAAGCAUAAUUUUCAAUCCAUCAAAUUGGUAUCAUUUUUUUCCCCGAGAACCGUAAAGAGUCUUAUUAUAGCAAACAGGAAUAAGAAAUUGUCUAAUUAAAUGAAUAUUACUUUACGAAUCUCUUGUGUUGGUUUGUUCGCGCUAUUACCGAUAUUACAAUUAAAUAUCUCGGAAAAUUUGAUAUUAAUUUCGAUAAUGUCUUGGUUUGAGGAAAUUGCGUCGAUUGCUAUCUCGAGCACCGGAAGCGGUUACCACCCCGGUCCCUUGAGCAAUUUUAAUUCAGGUUUAGUUUUUGUUUGUUUAUAAUUUGUAUUGAUAUCGUUUACAAAGUCAAAUACACACUCUAGUCAAAUUACAUAGAGCUACAAGCAAGAACAUAAAAAACAUGCGUUUGUGCAUGAACGUCAAGACACUAUCGAUUGUUUCCUUGAAAUAGUUAUGACGUAACCCCAUUUAUGAAAAAGGUAUACAAUGUACUCAAGGUAUUUAGCCUGAUAACCAAUCAACAAGCUGAAAGAUUUAUUUUGAUAUCCAGAAGUGCAACAGCGUUAUAUUUUAUAUGUAAGAACAAUCGGUUCAUAGUUCACAGACAACAACUAAGAAGAGGGACACAAAAAUGAACACCAAUAGCUUUCUUUAUGAUUCUUUAUUAGUUUUUUUCAUUCCUCACUUUCUUUUUUCCAUUAUCAUUGCAUGCAUUUUAAUAAACUGACACCAAAUCCGGAAUUACGAAGUUCGAUUAGAUUUUUUAAGCUGAUGAAAUCGCAGUAGUUUUUCUAAUUUCGCUUCUUGUAGUCAGCAGUAUAGUAUUAGGAAUAAAUGAAUGAUAUGUAUAGUAUAACAGUUCGCAGUCGUACAGGAUAAAUUAAUCCUUCCAAGACACCUGAUAUUCCGAAAUCAUUUAUGAAUCAAUUGAGUUUUUUUUUUUUUUUUUUUUUUUUUUGGGGGGGGGGGUCUGUUUAUUAAAGUUUAUGUGUCUUUUUUUAUUUUUUUAUGUUGGUCUUUGUAAACAUGUUUGUUGCAUCAGUUAUGCUUUACUUCAAUUACGUUCGACUAACUCUCCCUUCUUGACACACUCACUGCUUUCACACUUAAUUUUCUAUCAUAAUCUAUUUGAUUCUUUAGUAAAACCAAUUAUGACCUAUAAUUCAGAAGAAACAUAUUUGGAUACAUAUAUUUCUUUUCAUAGAGCUAAAAACAGAGCCUUAUCUUCAGGAAAACAAAUAAAUCAACAUGAUUUUACAGACAAAACCCCUACUGAUGUUGUUUCAAAACCUGAAAGUUCAAGAAAAUACAAAACAUUUUUUCUCAAUUUUUUUUUUUAAUCAAAGAAAAAAUAAUCUCAGGGAACUGAAUUGUUGUCUAUAUCAACAAAGAACUGUACAUGUUAAUCUGUUUUCGAAUUUCUAUGAAUAUAAACAGUUUCUGGGAAAUCCUAAAUUCCUUCCAUUAGUUGGAUUAGAAUUCGAUGUCUGAUCAAACAUAACAAAUAACUAUAACUGUUUUACAAAAUAUUUCUUAAUGGCUCUAACAUCAUGACAACUAUCAAAAUACAAACAGCUAAGUAAUUUGUAAAAUGAUAACAACAUUAACAAUGUAACUUAUAUUGAUUAAGAAAAUACGUCUUCAGCAACGUCUUGAUUUACAAGUUUUAAUAAAAUUAGAAUUUGUUUUCACACAUCAGACUAAAAUAUCCUCGUGUAAAUCUUACUAUGUAGAAGCUAAUUCUCAUUUAUUUCGCGUUUGAAAGUGCGCAAUUACAUUGCUUACUGUUUCAAAACAUAGACCGAUGUUACAAGAAACACUUCUGUGUACAAGUUAUAAAAUUACAUGCAAUUACAUGUACAUAAAAAGUUACUUUUCUAAUGUGCUAUUAAUAUUUAAAUGCAUUGUCACAUUAGGUCAUUAGAUUUAAGGGCAUACGAUACAGUUACAGGGGAGGUAAUGACGUUGCUAACGUAAAAUGUUAUUUUCGCGAUGUCAAACUGUGACAUAUCGGGAAAAGAUGCAUUUUUCGACUGAUUUUUAUCAUUUAAACUGAUUUAAUUUGAAAACGAGUUCAUGGACCCCUAUUUUUCAAAACAGCAAUUUGUUUCUUUUUGCAGGGAGAUUAUGUGACCCAAAUUUUAUAAAACUGUAGAUAGAGGUUUUUUUUAAUUUUGAUAAACAUGCAGCAAAAAAUGAUGUAUUUUCCUCAAUUCAUGAACAUUUGAUAAAUAUGAGUUAUUUCUGAAUUUAAAAUGCAUAGUUUUUUAGGAUAGUUAUAAAAUACAGAAAUUACCGAUUAUUUAACAAAAAACAAUUUGUGUUUAUCUUUUAUAUCAAAAAAGUUAUGUCUUUCUUUCGAAAAAGAAAUUACGACCACAAAUCUGAAUUUUGAGCAAAUAUACAAAAUUUCGACCUCAUUUUACUCAAAAAGUAGCACAUGCAGGUAUAUUUUUUAUUACAUACAUAUGUAUUUGAAUUAAUCAGGUAAAAAAUAGCCUAUAGGCAAAUUUUCACGAACUUGUAAAUACAGGAUCAAAACUGUAUCGUAUGCCCUUAACGUAACACUGAUGUUGCAGUGUCCUCGUUCAAAGUAAAGUUAGACGAUUUCUGCUAGUAGUUUUAAUUCCAAUGCUAAAACAUAAGCAUAUGAAAGCCAGAGAAAGAAGAAUAUGUAGCACCUUAUAUCUAUAGGACAUAAGUCAAAAUUAUGUAGCACCUUAUAUCUCUAGGACAUAAGUCAUCUAGCUCAGCUUUCCUCAAGUAUAAUUUACUGAGGAUUCAUUUAUUUUCGUGGGUACCAAUUUUCGUGGUUUGAGGAAAACUUGCAUAUUUGUGGAUAUUUGAUUUCGUGGUUUUGGCGCAAAGACUGCAUUCAUUCCUUUAGACAAAUUGUAAUUCUUGGAACAUUUGUAUUCGUGGUUCUCCUGUAUCCACGUAAUCAACGAAAAUUGGUAUCCAACGGAUAUAAAUGAAUCGACAGUAUACCAUAAAACAAAGUAGAUGUUAUGAAAGUUUCAAUAUGUUUAAGCCGUUAUUUAAUAUACAAGUAUGUAUAAUCUUUCACUGGCGAUUGAAGUUUUAGGUAUAAAGACAGCUAUUUUUUUUUUUUUUUUUUGACUUUUGACUUUUGAGCUUCAAUGAUAGUUGACCAGCCAUGCAGUACGGCUCCGUGUUCUAAUCCAGACAGUAUCUUUUUGGAAAGAUUAAAUUUGUCAUGCGAUUCAGUUGACCACCAAUUAGUCAAGUACAUAUGUACCGGGUCUUUUCAAUAUUCCCAGUCUUGAAAUAUUUCGAAUAUUUCGUAUUAAUUUAUUUUUUUUUUUCAUUUUCAGGAAAUGCAUCAAUGUUUAUGGAGGUGUAUAUAUUUAAUUAUAGUUCUACAAUUAAUUGAACAUUUACGUGCCGACCAAAGAGAAGAGGAUGCUAGAAGGUAUGCACGUUGGAUUAUUAUAAUACAAUGAGUCUGUCAAUUAUUUUAAAAGUGCGCAAUUACAUCGAUUACUGUUUCAAAACAUAGACUGAUGUAACAAGUAACACUUAAUUGUAUAAGUUAUAAAAUUACACGCAAUUACACGUACACAAAAAGUUACUCUUCUAAUGUGCUAUUAAUAUUUAAGUGCAUUGUCAAAUUAGGUCAUUAGAUUUAACAUAUAUUAAAGCUGAAACACAUUUUUUGCCCCUCUUUUAUAAAAAUAAUUGCAGGGCAAUUUUUACAUUUUUUAUUUUGGUUUCUAACACAGACUCUUAAGUUAUAAUUUUGACAAUUCAAAAGCUUACCAAAUAGCAUUCUUGCAUUUGAGUUCUGGUUGUUUGAAUGAAACACACAUAACUAAAAGAAGAUAAACUAAUAUAUUUCCUGCAAUGCAUUAAAACCUUCAACAUCUGUGAUUGGGAAAAGUGAAAUUACCAUAAUACCGGAUUCCGAGGAAACGCGGUAAGUCCGUAUUAAAAUGACAAAAUUAAAAGCUCAAACAUAUAAAACGAAUGGAUUACAACUGUCAUAUUCCUAACUUGGUACAGGCAUUAAUCUUUUUUAAUAUGUAGAAAAUGUUGAAUUCAGUCUAGUUUAAUAUGUCUCCCUAAUAACAUUCGUGUAAGUUUUGGCAAUACAGUUUAUUGACAGGUUGUAGGAAUCCCUAUGAGCACCAAUUGCACCCUUUUAUAAAAUACAAUUUGGCCCUAUAAAUAUGGUUAUUAAUCAGGGAUUAUGAAUCCGUUUAAAUCUUAUUUAAUUUAUAUGUUUGAUAGCACUAACAUUUUUUUUCUUGACAUGUUCAACCCCAACCCCAUUCAAUAUUUGCAUGUCCCAAAUCAAGUCUGUCAUUCAGUUCUGCCUGUUAAUUUGUUUAUGCUUGUUUUUUGUUUUGUCAAAAAUUAAAACAUUGCAUUUUUUCUCAUUUGAAUUGAUUCACGUUUUGUGAUGUUAAUUCCGUUAGAUGCUUUAUGAUCAGUUUUUUUACUCUCAUAGUUGAAUCCAUACGAUGGCCUAACAUGGCUUAAAUUCACACGUAGUUCUAAUAUUCGUCUCACUGGCAAUCAGUCCCCACCAUCUUUAAGUUAUUUAUAUUUAUUGACAUAAAUAAAGACUAACAGUAGUAUACCGCUGUUCGAAAUUCGUCAAUCGAUUGUGAAAAAAAAUCCGGGUUACAAACUAAAACUGAGGAAAACACAUCAAAUAUACAUCGAUACGAUUUACUGAUAAUGAUAUCAGAUACUUUUGUAUCUAUUACAACUAAAAACCAAUAGCUUUUUAAACUUAUAGAGUUUUACGUAAAUGAAAUGCCAUUAGAAAAUGUAGAAUAAUAACGUUCAAAAAUAUUAUAAACACUAACUGAACUAAAACUAAACGGUACUAUAAUCAUAAUAACUUAGUCGUGACUUAUAGAUAUAGAUAUAUAUGUUGUGAUCUUACACUCGUAUUUCAGAUAAGAGCGAAAGUUGGUACAUAUUAAAACGUUUAAUCCUGUUGCAUUUGUUUGCAACUGUCCUAAGUCAGGAAUGUGAUGUUAAGCUAUUGUCGUUUGGUGAUAAAUUUUUCUCGUUAUCGUUAUUUUUUUAGAUUACGAUGCUGGUUUUUAGGGUUUGAAUGGUUUUACACUAGUCAUUUUUGUGGCCCCUUAAAGCUUGUUGUUCUGUGUGAGCCAAGGCUUCGUGUUGAAGACCGUACAAAUUGUGACUUAGAUGAAGAGUUGUCUCAUUGGCACUCAUACAACAUCUUCUUAUAUUUAUAAAAAUCGAAAUGCAAUCAAACAUUGUUAUACUAAAUUCUUGACACAUAUUCUCUGCAAAAUUACUCAAAAACGAUGUCACCUCAUGUUAGAUUAAAAUAUAUUUACUUUAUUUUGGUAAACUUAAUUUGUCUUUUUGAAACAUUUAUUUUUGAUUUUCCCCAUGGUGAUGUAAAAGUUGGUAAACUUGUAUGUCCAUAUGUCCUUCAUCUAUUCGUUUGAUGUGUUUGAGCUUUUUAUUUUGCCUUUUGCUUAGGGAUUUUCCGUUUAGAAUUUUCCUUUGAGUUCGAUAUUUUUGUAAUUUUUUUUUCACAAUUUUCUAACAACUAAAAAUCGAUUUACAAUAACUGUUAGUUUCAAUUAGAACAUGAUGCACAUAGUUAUAUGUCCUAUUGCUCAAUCAGAUUAAGUUCAACAUAAAGGAAUGCACAUUUCUUACAUUAAACAUAUAUUAUUCUAGUCUAGUCGUUUCUUGUACGUAUAUUUCAAUAUUUAAUAUGCGUAGAGUUAAUGGUUCCUUUGCAAUCAAAUCAAACAACUUAUAAUUACUCAUUCAAAUUCAGCAUUUUUAAUAAUCUGAUGAAAUUGUAACAUCAACUAUUUGAUUUACAUCAUUUAUUCAAAUGGGGUUUAAAUGAUGAAAAUGUAAAAUGUUUUUAACUUGAUAUUUAGGGAUUUUGCAUAUACAUCAUUGCAUUGUUGGCAUACGACUGCUAACUUUAUUCAGCAUUUAUUGCAUGGAGAUAUUAUUGUUCAUGCUAUCACAAUUAAAUUAGUGUCGAUAAUAUUUCAUAUAAAGAGUUCAAUUCCAGGACGAAAACUCUUUCCGUAUUGAAUGGAAUUUUACACUUUAUUUCCAACUUCCGGUGCUAAUCAGCAGAUACAGACAUCUUAAUUGACAUCAAAACGAAUAAUAUUUAAUUCCAAUUAUUCACACAUUUUGAACGUGAUGAUCGAUCUAAUCUGCAACGAAUAAUUUCAUUGUUUCAUGACAAAUUCUCACAAACCCAUCAGGAUUCAAGGAAAGGGCGAAAAUUCCAGGAAGAGUUUAUAGUACUUAACUGGAAUUGCAUGCUUAUUUAAGAACGCGUGUUUCUGAUAUGUCUUGACUAAAAUUGUAUAUUUAUUUGAAAAGGCGUGUCUUUAUACUUAUAUGAAUGUAGACAAAUAUUCCCUUAUGUUUUUUUUUUUGUCGAACAUUAUGUAAUUAAGGUAUUUCAAAAAGCGAUUAAAUUUUUCUGCGACAACAUGUAAAACGCUGCAUUUUUUAUUACCAAUUCCUGAAAUUAUUAAAAGGUUUCUGUAAAUUCGGUACAUUUAUACUGUAACCGAAACAAGGGGUAAUAAACAGCAAUAGAAUAGAUGCAGCACGAAAGACGCUAAUAUAAGACUCUGCUGUUCACGAAAUUUUAUUCACAGCCCAAUUCCAAUAUCCAUUUCGAUUUGUUUGUAUGUAUAUUCGUCCGUCAGUUCGUCGGUACGUAGCUUUAUCUUUAUCUUACUUCGCUUUCGUAUUAAGAAAUGAAUUCAAAUUCAGUCUGAACUUUAUAAUGUUCAGUUGUAUCAUGUAAACAAUUUUCAAAUUGUUUUGAAACUAUUUAAAAUGUCAAAGGACAAGAUUCACUUAUGGCACAAUAUGGCCUAAAAUAUCAACUUUAUCAUAAAACCCCAAAAAGGUCACAAUUUGAUUCGUAAAUGGGUCUAUUUCAAAAGACCUAAUGCUAAUUAAAUCAGUUUUUUUCAUAAAAGUACAUAAUAUUCUCCAAAGUAGGCCCAUUUUUGGACAUUUUGUCAAAAUGUGGUAAAUUUGUUCAAUUUUUACACCUAAAAGCUUAAGAAAAACAUUGGCCGCCACCUACGAUCCAAAAUGUUUUGAAGCCAAAAGAUUCAAAUUUUGAUAUAAAAUUCAUCAAUAUAAAGACUUUUUGGAUCGUGGAUGGAGGCCAAUGUUAAUUAUUCCAAAAACAAUUAAAAUUGUGGAAAAAUUUGACCAAAAUUGACCAAAAAUACAAAUAAUGUAUAUUUCAGGGGCCAUAGCUUCAUAAAUUUAAAAGGAAGGUGCCAAUAAAAUAUAUUUUUAUAUUGAUAGUAUUGUAACAAGUAUUUCUAUGCAAAAUUUGUAAUUUAUUUGCCCGAUUUUAAAAACGUCAAAAAUUUAAGGUCAAUUUUAACCCUUCGUGAACCUUCUUAAAUAUUAACCAUGGGGAUUCUAUUCAGGACUACGAGUCUAACGUCAAUGGAAAUGUAAACGUGUAGCACAUAGGUUAAUGGUCAGAAUCAUUCAUCAUGUUUGUGACAAUCUCAAAUAUUUUUGACUUAAUCUUUUUGAAUUCACACCAUGACUUAACUAAAGAAUGUAUAUUCAUGCUGCAUAGCUAUGUUUCAUUGUUGAAAGUUGAAUAAAUGUUUGGUCAAAACUUUUAUGGAAAGAAACCACAUUAAGAUUCCAAACAUUUUUUCAAAUUAAUUUUUUAUGUAUCUAUAACGGAUUUGAAGUUUCUAAAUUCAAUUAUAGACAGGAAUAUUUGCUUUUGAUUACACUACACUCGGACAAUCAGUGUGGACUCAAAUAUUAAAUAUUGCAUCAGACGCAUCCCUUAUUUCAAGUUCGAUGUUAUAAAUGCGUUCAACAUAAAGUAACCAAAAUGCUAUCAAUAGGAUAGCAGUUGUUUAGAAAAACCAAAAGCUAAAGGACAUAGUUAGAACUUUUCUUUGAUCUUCAAAAGCUCCUGUGCGGAGUCUAAUUGAAAUGAAUAGAGAAACAAGUCGACAAGGAGAGAAACACAGCUGCUUCAUAUUGGUGUUUCGAUUGUCUACUGAAAAACUCGUCCUCUGACGAGAAAAGAUGUUGUUAAUGAACGAUAUUUUAAUUUCACAACUCUUUUGAAUCCCGGUUGUGCUUGACAAUAAAAUAGUUAAUUUGGAAAGAGUUUUAUUUUGAGCAUUCACAGGCUCAGAAAUAUGGUGUUGUUAGGAAGGACGUUUAUGUAAUUCGGGUAUCCAUCCCAAAAGAUUCAGUUUUCAUCUUCGGUAGAAAUCCCUAAGGGACGUAGAACAUUAUUUCCUGAUUUUCUCAUUUUUAAGUGUCGUCUGAGCGUAUUUUGGGUUUCCAAGUGAAUUGUGAAUAUCUAAUACCUUUAUCAAGCACCUUUUUAUGAUCAAUGUAAGUAACAAACAAACAAAAGACGACAUUGUUUUAGGAUUUACUUGUUUGGACAAAAAAAAAUUUGUCAAGCGGGUAGGAUAUAUAUGUGUUAAUAUUAAAGACAAGCAAACAUACCGAACUCCAUGGAAAAUUCAAAACGGAAAGUCCUUGGUCAACUGGCAACAUCAAAAGCUCCAAUCAUUAAUGGAAAACAACUGUCAUAUUCUUGAAUUGGUAAAUGCACUUUUUUAUGUAGAAAAUGUUUAUUAACCCUUGCUGUAUAGCUAUAUAAACCUCUCACUUGUUUGAUAGUUGAUAUUAUUUCUUGCCUUCAUCAUUUUUUUUAUGAACUUGACCAACUGAAUAGAAAAAAAUACAGAUAUCUUAGGAUCUUGAGGUUAUUACAUUAUUCAAAUUUCUUUUUGAUGAGAAUUAACCGGCCUAUAUUUUUUUAUUGGGUAAUUACAAUUUCGGAAAUUGCCAUUUAUUGUACCGUAUCUUAAAGAUAUUUUAGAACUUCUUUUAUAUCUGACGUUAUUAUAAUGAGUAUUGCUUCUCUUUCUCUCUGCGUAUAUUUUGUUAUUUUGCAUAUGUUUGUUGCUCAUAGACUAUAGGUUUAUAUAUCCAUCCUUUUUUUUUACGUCGGGGUAAUUAUUAUAGAUAAUCAGUGUAUAAAUUCAAAUUGAAGAAUGGACACCAAGAUCCCAAUAAAGACUCACAGGUGGUUGUUAAAGCAAAUACCGUUUUUCUAAAUCUAUAUAGCCCAAUUAAUUGAACAAAUGACAAUACAGUGACAAACAAUAGCUUAUUAUAAUUCCUUACAAUCUGUAGGAAAACCUUAAAGUAAGUGCUGUUUGUCGUCAAUACCCCAGUUGAAGGCAACAAUAUUGUCUACCCUUUAAUUACGUUCCCAUUACUUCUGUCUUAGACCUAAUACAUCUGCUGCAUUGAAACUGUAUUUAAAGGGUUGCCAAUGUAACGAAAAUCCGGACUACUCCAAAAGAAAACUACAAAUUUGACUGUCAAAUACUCAAAUUGACCGUGACAAUUGUUCAAUAACACAUUUAGGAUAGCAGCUAUUGCACGAAUAUAGAAGACGGUGACCAUGGCAAAUAUAAGUUCUAGAAUUCGGUCAUGAUCCUGAUGUUAUAUCUAGCUUAUUUAGGCAUUAAUAAAACAUCUCAUCAAACUAUUUCGAAUAUUAAAUGAUUAUAUAGAUCUAAGAAAAUUUGGUAUGAGUGCCAAUAAAACAACUAUCCAUCCAAGUCACAAUUUAUAAAAGUAAAAUAUUAUAGGUCUAAGUACGGUUUUCAACACGGAUCUUUGGCUCAUACCGAACAGCAAGUUAAAAAGGGCCCAAAAACGAAUGUUUACUAUGUACUUCAUAUCAGGAAAAACAAUUGGUACAUGUGAAAAUAAAACAAAAUAACGAUUUCAGUAAUGUUGAUUUUUUACAGUAAAAAUCAUUUUUUCUUGUCUGUUGACAUGCAUUCUCUUUGAAAACUAGUGUUUACCAGGUAGUAUGAAAUAAAAUGCUUUAAUGGUUUUCGUGCAAGCGGAUAUUUGGCUUUCAACCGCACUGUGUUGAUGAAAGAAGUUUUUAUCUCCUUUUUGUAAUAAAAUGUGUUUGCACAAUCCUGUUUGUAAAUGUCUAUUUGACAAAUGAACAUGCAAAUGUGAUGGAUUAAUAAUAAAUCUAUUAACAACAAAUGAUCAGCAAUUAACGUUAUUAAUAAUAUUAAAACAGUUUAAUAACAAAGGAUCGUUGACAAAAUUUUAAUUUGAUAGAGAUAAAAUAUCUGUAUUACGCCAUCUUGGGUUGCAAAUUAUUGGUACAGAUUUACACGGAAAUUAUCUGGAAAAAAUUAUUCAUUGAAUGCAAUUCAUUUGUCACAUUGUGCUGUUCUUUUAAAUUGUAUGGCAUUUACAAAAAAAUAAACUUUACUUUUCUUGAAAUCGUUAAUAGCAACAAUAACAAACAAAAAAAAAACGCAUACGGUGACCUUAGUUUGCCAUUGUCUUUUUAAAGUGUUUUAUCAUCUUCAUAUACUUUAUUUGAAAAUUUUGUUUUAUCUUUAUUCACAUAUACUUGCUUUUCAUUGUAUUUGGUAUUCAUAAAGAUGAUGCUUUUCACAGGUUGAAGUUUUAAACUUUUGUCGAACGCAAUUUAAUAAGUGUUAUGUUUUAUUCCUAUUUACUAUACUACUGGACCAAUACGUUUGUUAUUUCUUGUUGGUAUCAUCAACUCAGUUGUCAAUUACAUCCGCUCAUACAAAUUUUGAGUACAAUUAUCAAGACAAAUAAAUCAACAAAUCAAAUCUUGAUUUUGGUUAUGAGAAAAUAUGAACUCUGAGUUAUUAGUAAAGUUUCAUGACCGAAAUAUGACAUUUGUUUUCUAUUCUUUAGAUUUAUUUGAGCUUUUGGUUUUGUCAGUUAUUAAAGUACUCUCCGUUUUGCAUUACCCUUAUAGUUCGGUAUAUUUGUUAUCUUUCUCUUCACAAUACUUUUCUAAAAUUUGACGUUGAAAAACAAAAAAUAAUUAAAGAAAAUUAACCUUUAAGUUAGACGAACUUUCCUAUUCUAUUGAUGUCCAUUUUGAUCAUAUAGGUCCUAACAUUGCUACGUUUUUAUACCAUCUGGAUUUCAAAUGUUAAGGUUUGCAUUUCCAGAAAGUAAAUCCAGAAAACCUCUUUAAAACAGAUUAAGUGUAAUGAACACAGUACGUAAAUGGGAGCUAAAUCAAUUAACAACCUUUUUCAACUGAGCAUACUCUUCUUACAAAUUAUUUGAUUACACGUCAUAUUGAACAUAUAAAGGUAAUUGUAUGUGUAGCACUAUAUCUUUUUAAGUAUUCCAAGUUUAAUUAAACAGCGUGAAAACAAGAGUUUCCUAUUUUCCCAAUAGGAAUAAUCAUCCCUCAAUAUAAUUAUCGCUCUAUGUUAAAUAUUUAGUAUUGUAUUUUGAAAAUCAUAUAAUUUAUGACGAAAACAUUAAAUAAAAAAGUCAGAUAUUCAUUUAAAGUACAGAUACACAUUAAAUUAUAUUAAAUAUGAUAUUUAUGCAUUUCAAUAAGAUAUACAUGUCUGAGAUAAUGCGCAAAACUUAAUUGGUGAAACAAGUUUACGCAACAAAUUGACAGGCUGAAUUGAAAUAUUUGUCAACUGUUGACAUGGGUUGAAGACUCCUUGCGAUAUUGCCUUUUACGCUUAUGUGGCGUAAAGCAAACAUAACUCAAUCAAUCAUAAGUUGAAGUCGUAAAAUUGAGAAUGGAAAUGGGAAAUGUGUCAACGAGACAACUACCCGACCAAAGUGCAGACAACAGUCGAAGGCCACCAAUGGAUGUCUUCAAUGCAGCGAUAAAAUGCCGCUCCCAGAAGCAUGGUUCAGCGGGCCCCUAAACAAAAAUGUAUACUAGUUACUAACUCCGAAAUAUAUAAAAGAAACAAAAAUACAAAAAAAAUAUACAAGACUAAUAAAGACCACAGGUUUUUGACUUGAUGUAUAAAUUAUUCGAAAAGUAUGAAUAUUCGAAAUACUAAGGAUGUUCUUAUUAAGGUCAUAGAUUAGCUAAGCUGUAUUUGGCAACACUUUUGAAGAAAUUCGGGUCCUCAGUAUUCUUCAAUUUGUACUUGUUUUGGCAUUCAAACUAUUUUGAUGUGAAUGCCACUGAUGAGUUUAAUGUAAAAACGCGCGUGUGGCGUAUCAAACUAUAAGCCUGGUACCUUUAAUUAAUAUUCACAUCACAUUAAUGAGGGGAGAUAAUCACUAUGAGUGUCCUCUUCAAAGUUGUGCUAUAAGAUCCACCGCCGUCCAAUAUACAAGAUUGAUUAUAAUUACCAUAAUGACAAUCAAUGUCAAAGAUUCUAAACAUAUUUAACAAAUUUCGACUGCAAUCUCGCAUCAAAUGCUGGUUUUGGAAUUGACUUAUCUUAGCAUCAAAUAUUACCGACAUUGUGAAGAUAUAUUUUACAUGCCGGAAAAUAAUAAACUGAUAAAAUGCAAAACGUCCUUUUAAAGAAACAUAGAUAUGUCAGACAGGAGAAUUUAAGAAUGAUUUUUUUCUCAGCUUUUCGUCUAAGCACACCUUCGACACUUUUUCAACUGAGAUACCUGACCAUGAAACAGUUUUGCUUGAAUAUGAAAAAAUAAAGUUGUAAUUUGUAAUGAUACAAUGCAGUAAACUUUAGUUGUCACUAAAUUCGUCUGAAGGUUGUCCCAUUUUUUUCUGUGUAGUGUGUUUGGGUAAAACCGAAAUUACAUGCUGACGAUUACAAAGCUCCUACGUAUCUUUGUGGCCGGAAAAGAUUUCAUUUCGUACAUGUUUUAAUGGCUAUUGCUGUUUCAUGUUAUUUCUAUAAUGCAUCACGUAUUAAAAUGGAUGAAAUCGGAUGUGUGAUAAGUCAGUGAUAAAAAUAAGUUCACAUAAGUAAAUUGAAAAUCUAGACAAUUGAGAUGAGCUAAAUAUAUUUACGUAACUACCACUUUUAUAUAACGUGAUGUUAACAUUUUACAGAAUUUGUUCUCUUAAAUUAACACUUAACUAAUAUAAUUUAAGGUGUAACAUUGGCUCUUACACAGGAUCAAAGACAAAAUACUGUAAAACAUUUAUAAAAUAUAUCCUCUAACACAGAUACAUCAGUACAUUUUAAUCUAAGAAAGGGAUUACAUGUACUUUUGGUCUUCAUCUGUAUAUUUAUUAACAUCAGUAAAGUGAAUAGUUUGCAGCACAAUUAAGACUUGUGUGAAAAUUUACUGGUAUCUAUUUAAAUCAGAGCACAUUUAACACUAAUGCCUCUGUAAAUACAAACAAUGGCCACAUUCGUGUUCCUUCGUUACACGUUUUGAAAGUUUUUGCUUAAGGUUGUGUCGGCCGAACACAUGACGUGUCAAAAUAUUUUGAUUUAUAUACUUCCAUUUUUAGCUUCUUUCGUGAACAUAAUUUGCUCAAGUAAUUGAAAUCCUUGUCUCUUAUUCAGGUUGAUGGAGUCACUAAACCAAGCACAAAACGAUAUUUCUUCUAUGAUGUCAACAGUGGACGGUCUAGAUAAUUAUUUGACCACACAAAAGUAAGAAUAUUUAGAAUUUUGCAUUAUAUAUAAAAAUUCCUGUUUGUUUUAGCACCACUGUGAAGUUCCGUUGAUAAUCUGCUCUGAUUCACGUUCUCUCUUUUCUCAGAGGCAAUUCCUAUCUCCCCCUUUUGCAACUGUACCUACUUCUUUACACCGAUUAUUGGUCCUUAAAGAGGAUUCAAUGUAUUGUUUUAUUUGGUUUCUUCCUGGAGAUGCAUUCACAAUAUUCAACUUGACGCUGUCAGGUAACAAUUCAUAUUUUUAUACAGUUUUGUUAAUCUCUGAACUUGUUCGUAUUUCUUGUUUUUUUAGUAUUUGAAAAGUAAAACAAAUUUCAUAAAACUUCAAUAUUGAUUUGAAUUUUUAUUCCAAACAAAUAGUUUCAAUGACAACGGUGAAUCUAGUUUGUUUGGGAAUCCAAAGUUCUUUUUAACAUGCAUCCAAAAUUUAAAUUAUUUCAUUAUUAAUAGGGUGUAAUAGGGUUUGAAAUUAAUAUUCUUUAUUUUAGAUCUGAUUUUUUUUAUGUUUUUGCAACAAUGGUUAAAUUGAAAUUUAUACAUUUGUUAAUGUGAAGGUUGUUAGAAUUUAAUGAUCGCAAGAAAUUAACGCAUCAGAUUAUUUAUUCCAGAUGAUUUUAUAGAAAUCUCAUUAUUUUUAGUAUUUGUUCAAUUUCAUAUGGAAUCACUUCACAUCUUCUCUAUAUCGAACACUAUAUAUAGUCAGUGAUAAUGCAUUUUAAAAAACUUUUAAACUGCAAUAUUCCUUUAUUUUAAAAGAUCUAUGUUAGAAAAUGUGUAGUAGCAUUUGUUCAUGUCUUUUUUAUAAAUAAAAUCCUCUAACAUCUAUAAUAACAAAAGAAUUUUCAUUUGUUUCAUCAAAGAUUUUUUUUGAUUUUUUCCCGUCUUUUGUUAUCCUUGGAAUUAGCUGAACAUAAAGAGGACCGACAGCCUUCAAACGAUUCCCACGACAAUUGCUAUAUAUCUAACGUCAAAAAUCGUUAAUUAAUCUAAAAUAGAUAAUUUUUCUAUUCAUAUAUUUUAUUGCAUAUUAAGUAAUGAUAAAAUCAGAUAAUACUUCGACUGACUUGUAAGAACAUAGCAUUGAUGUCCAAUACUGUUAGAGACAAAAGCUAUAAAACUCAAACUUAGUCUCAAAUGAGAUUGAUAAGUUUGAUGUUGUGGAAGACAUUUGUAAUUAUUUUAUUUGUUCUUAUGUGAAUGCUAAUAUUUUUAGAUAAAUUCAAUUAUUAUAGCUACUGAUAUCCUUAUUAUUAAAUUGUAGUAAAGAUAGGAUUCUUUGUCCUUCGCAACAAUUAUUUUGACAUUUUGUACUUGACAUAAAACUGCAAAACUUAAAUCACAGGUUUUCAAUUAAUUAUAGAUUUUUCAGCUAUGAAUGAUUGAAAUGCACUUAGAUAUAUUGAAAUCUUUUCGAAUGACCGAUCAACAUUGUGUAAAUCUACACACUGUCCGGUGCAAUUAUUUUUACACUUCUAAAACACCCCCCUAUGGCCUUACUGAAGAUUGUAAUGCAAUAAAAUCAGCAUUAAUUUGACAGUAAUGAUUUUAUCUUUCACUAAUUUUGGAUUUAUUUUCUCUAAACCUAUUUUCAUCAUUUAUCAUUUAUGGUUUAUGUAACUAUAUCUUGGAAUUAUUUAUCCUAUCUUCUUCUAACUUGAAGUAUUAACGUCAAACUAUACCAAUAAUGCAACAAGAGCUGCAUGAAAUAAAGAAAAACACCCAUAUGAAUUUAUGCACUAACUUUUAAAUAAAAAUAAUAAACUUGAUGUUCAAAUUUAGAUAUUUUUUCUUUUUCAGAAAACGGGCAUGCAAUCUUGGAUUAAAUAGUCACCAUUGUGCCUUGGCAGACCUGGACAAUCAACUCCAGUCACGUGAAUGGUUAUCAAACGGACAUAGCCCUGGUAAACGGACCACGUUAAAAGAGGAACACAAAGAAAAACUAUCGGAGGUUGAAAUAAAAAGGUAACCACUGAGAUUUUUAACUCAUUUUAAUAUAUGUCCUAAUACAGAUAUAACUUUAAUCACUAUGAAUUGUAGUGGUAUGCAAAUUUUGAUUCAAAUUUUAACACAUUUUUUGUUUAAUGUCCUGUACCAAGUCAGUAAUAUGUCAGUUAUUAUUUAAUUGUUCGUUUCAGUAUAUGUUGCAAUGCUGUUUGUACUUAGUUGGAGUUCAGUGGUUCGUUGUUUUCUUCUUACAGCUGAUGUGAUUUCCCCAGUUUUAGUUUGUAAGUUGGAUUUGUUUCUCUCAAUUGAUUGAUGACUUUUCUGUAGCUGUAUUCUGCUGUGGCCUUUAUUUACCUUUUUUGAAUUUUUUAAUCGAAGACUUUUUAUUUACAACGAUGAAAUAAAUUGUUUUUUAAAUGUCAAAACAUACAACUUUGCUUCUGAUAAUGUUUUGGUUAAACUUUCUAAUCUUUUUACUUUUUUUUUUAUAGAAUACUUGAAUUUGACUAUAAAAAUUGCAGGUUCGAGGGGUCUUCAAGAAAUCAAUAUUUGAUUAAUUUUAAUUAUUAAAAAUUUUCAAGUACCAUCGCAAUUUUAGGAAUGACAAAUCAGUCUACCUUUGGAAAUUACAAAUAAAAGAAUGUAUUUGGCAAUUAAAAAACAAAUGUAAAAUUCCUGAUACAGGAUUCAAUGGAUUAAAGCGUACUUGAUGACAGCAAAUAAAAAUUGAUGCGUUGACACAGAUAAAAUUUUCAGUGUGUCUGACGUCAGAAAAUUUUAUAGUAAAUUGUCUGGAAGCACUAAUAUAGUCAUAUUUAAACCAUAUGUUUCUGAACGUUUGAGUACUUUCGCUUAUAUUGUCAUUAUUAUAGGAAAGAAGAUUAUCCUUAUCGGUACACAAUUUUGAUCUGUAACUUCUGUAAAGUUCAAUAUAGAAGAUUGCACUGUUUGUGUUGAAAUAUUAACAGUGAAGAUUAAAACAGAAAAUAAGGAAGUCCACAAAGAAGGAAUCUCAUGACUAAGAAAUGAAAUAAUGGUAUUAAGAAGUCCCUUCACUGCAUACAGACUUUGUCUGGAUAUUAAAAUUAAAGUCAUGUACAUAGGUCUUCUCCAGGAAUACAAAAAAGGGGUUAUUAUAACAGUAGGUCGACGAAAAUAUACAUAAAAUCUAUGAAAGAUAACACGUGUACAUAAAAAGUUGAGUCUUGUAUCUUGAUUUACGAUACUCCCAUGUCAUAGAUGACAAAUUGUAUCAAUGUAGUUUAUAUUGCAAUACAAAAAAUCAUGGACAUCUUUUUUUACUGUAAAAACUUGAACAUAGAAAUAUGAAUAAAGUAUGAAUUGAAGUUUUGUUAAACAUUCCCUUAAAAUAACCAAUUAGUCUUUCCCAUUUUCUAACAUAACAUUGUGGAUCAUUACGUUUGCGAACGGAAGUCAAUUUUCCAGACUUAUAUUUACUCCGCCGUUGAGGCAAUAUGUUUUUAUAGAUUGUCUGAGUUUAUUAUCGGAUUUUUAUGUAUUAAACACACGCUCUGAAAUCCCAAACCGACUGAUACAUGCAUAAGAAGAGAUUAAUCCAAUAAAAGCUCAUAUCCUGUCUUUUGCAACUAUUUUAAAGCACUCCACCCCAACCCAAACUGUCUAAACGAACUUCAACCUAAGCAAUUUGAUAUCCCCUCUGAUAACUUUAUUUGUACCGUUUAUAUUUUGCGGUUGAAAAGAGUAACCUACUGAUCUGCAACUAUUUUCCUAUAAUAGCUUCUCCUCAAUGUUCAUUAUGAUCCAAUAAAGAGUCUCUUGAGACUAAUUAGUAGCAUUUACAGUAAGAUAGACAUCUAAUGAACAAGAUCCAUUGCCAUUUAUGUUGAUUUAAUUUGUGUAAAUUGUUUUAUGAGUUCCCAAAUAUUUACUUGUGAUAAGUCGAUAACUCUCGAUCACUGAAUGCAAACAAGUAAUUUCCUCGUUACACAGAACAUGACAAAUGGGCCCCUUAUAUCAUCUCCCGUACAAAGACAAUGAUGCUUAAUCAAAUAAAUCCUUAUGUCAAAUCAAAUAAACUAAAAUGUUUUCGCGAAAAAAAAAAUUUGCAGAUACAUAAUUAGUAAUAUGUAUUUGGGUAAUAAUGAAGGGAAAUUAUUUCUGCGGUAAUGACAGCGCUAUAUAUCUUAUGAAUGAACACUUUUGGUAAGUGAACAUAGUAUUAAAUCAUUAUUAAAAGCAUUUUGAUUGAAUUGUUUGUUAUAUUUUCAUAAAUCUUUUAAGUUGGUAAUUUACUGGCACUUACAGCCGAUGUUUAAAAUGAGUUUCAGUACCUUAUUUCAUAGUUAAAGUGGUUAAUAAUAUAACUGCUCUGUGUUAUAUUCUUAAACUAAAUUAUUUACAAUACAAUUUAUGUUGUCACACAUACUGACAGUGAAAUGGUUACACAUUUUGCUAUUAUUCAAUUGACCGAUAAAGGCAUCGUAAGAAAAUAUUUUCGGUUUUACUUAUAAUUUCCUGUACGCAUUGAACGUCUGAAAAGUGUAUGCAUAAUUUAUCUUCACCUUAUAAUUAGAUAUUCAUUUAACUUCCAUCAACAAUCCAUGAAAAAUAUUAGCACUAAAGACGUUCCUACCUUUGAUUUGUAUUUUUCUGACAUAUAGUUUCAUUUAAUAUGAUUUUCAAUCGACUAUAAGAAUCAAAGACUUUUUAAAAUAAAUAUCCGACAGAUGGUUCGUUUCUCAAAGUUUUUUUUUCUGUUUCGUUGACUUCUUUGAGAGUACUAAAUACUGCCGAAUCAGCCAGUCAGAUUAUUGUGUAGUCUGAAAUGAGAUAUCAUCACCUAUAACGUUUUAUCGAAGCUAUCAAUAACCGACAAUCUAUCACAGUAAAAUACAUUACAUGUUGACCAUAUUUAUCGAAUUAAAACAAGUUAAGUAGUCUGGUCAAUCUAAAUAUCAUACAAUUUUCUUCUACAGGUUAAUAGAAGAUAUAGUGAGAAAGCGCCUUGACCUAAAGAACAUUCGCACAUUGUUAGAAGAUGCAAAUGGUAGCAUUAUAGAAAAUAGGUAAAUAUAUACAAUUUCUCAGGUAAACAGAAACAUUUUCGUACAUUGUCAUAUUCCCAAUUCUACAUAAAUCGUUUCUAUACCAUAAAAACUAUUGUCUUAUUUUAGUUUAAUACUGGUACAAAUCUACCUGGCAUAUGGUCUUCCAACCCAUUAUUAAUUCUAUAACAAACAGCAAAAGAAAACUGAAGGAUCACGUUCAUAAAACCCGAUUAUUUGAAUGUCAUUCAGGCCAAUUUAUUUAUAAUUUCUAUUCCUAUAAAAUAUAAUCAACAUUAUAUUUAUCAGAUUCGAAAUAAAGAAUGGCGAUGUCCACUGAUUAUAUUUUUUUAUAUAACUAUCCAGACUCAUGAAAUAACAUUAUAAAACUACAGUUCUAUAGUUUUUAACUUUAAAGAAGAAUUGACUUCAAUUGUGUUUAAACAUUCAGCUAAAGUUGUAUUCACUUGGUACACAUAAAACCAAUUAAUACGUUGUAUAAACAUAAAAUAGAAUUCAAAGAUCUUAAACAUAUGAAGCGUCCUUAGCUGAUAAUGUAUUCUUAUAUUUCUAGUAAACGCACAUGUACAGUUGAGUUAGGAGGUGCUUGCCGAACGGAAUGGGCAUCAUCCAUUGCAGACCAAUAUUAUUACUUGAUGUCUCCGCAUAGUCCAGGUAGAAAACGACGAUCAUUCCGAAAGAGAAUGUCACCCUUGCGGCUGUUUCACAAAAGACUCCAGCAAAUCAAGAAGAGACAUUCAGAUAAUUGAUCGCAUUUUUUUUCUAUUAUGAUGGUAAGUCUCGUUGUCAGUACUUCAACUGUAUUGAUUAUAUUUUAAAUAAGUCAAAUUACAAAAUAAAACAGAACUCCAAGGAAAAUUCAAAACGGAAAGUCCAAAAUGAAAUGACAAAAAUCAAAAGCUCAAACACAUCAGACGAAACAACUGUCAUAUACCUGACAACUUGGUACAGGCAUUUUCUUAUGUAGAAAAUUGUGGACAAAACUUGGUUUUAAAGCUAGUUAAACAAUUCACUUGUAUGACAGGCGUAUCAAAUUCCAUUAUAUUGAAAGCAAAGUGUGAACAAAACAAACAGACAUAAUAUAUAAAAAUGUCAAAAAAUGUCGAAAAGAUGCCCUUGCGACUCAGGGUGAUUAACAAUGUUUCAUAUUAUAUAGACACUUGUAAAUUACUGAAACUGUAGGUAAGAUGUAGAUGUUAUUAAGUAAUUUGUGUUAGGAAGUUUGUCAUUCUACCUUCAUCAAACUUUAUUCAUACACAAUCGAUGAAAUGAGUACUGAACGAAAUGUAGCAAUCAUAAAUCCAGAGUUAAUAAGAUAUAAGAAUCAUACAAAUAAAAACAAAAUUGUACCUCAUACCAACACCAAAAAUUACAAUAAGGAUGUUCCUGGUGGAAUGUCAUUAAACUUGUGAAUUUUCCUGAUAAUAGGCAGUGCCCUUAGAAUUCCUCGUUUCGGAAUCUAUUACAUCAUGGUUAACAUUUUAAAAUUCGAUCACCGAAACGUGUUUAAUAACAAAAUGUCUUAUACAAUGAAAAAUCUAUCAAAUGAUGUGACGUUAUUAUCAUUUUAUAGUACGAACAAUGCAAUUACCCAUAAUACUUUAAAUUCAGAAACGGCGAAUUGGUAGGAAUUGUUGGUUGUCAAUGUUUAUGUUGAUAUGUUGAAGUGGUUCGAACAGAACUAUGGCAUAUUGAUUUCGAUUAACAUUACCACCAAAGCAUAUUUAGAGGUUUAUGAUAUAUCACUCACAUAAUUUAAACAUGGAACCUGUUCAUUGUAUGCAUGCAAAUAUGAUGAAAUCAUAAUCUUUUAGUCAGUUAAAUUGAAGUCUGGAGCUGGCAUGUCAGUUAACUGCUAGUAGUCUGUUGUUAUUUAUGUAUUAUUGUCAUUUUGUUUAUUUUCUUUGGUUACAUCUUCUGACAUCAGACUCGGACUUCUCUUGAACUGAAUUUUAAUGUACGUAUUGUUAUGCGUUUACUUUUCUACAUUGGUUAGAGGUAUAGGGGGGGGGGGUGUUGAGAUUCACAAACAUGUUUAACCCGCCUCAUUUUUUGCGCCUGUCCAAAAUCAGAGAGCCUCUGGCCUUUGUUAGUCUUGUAUUAUUUUAAUUUUAGUUUCUUGUGUACAAUUUGGAAAUUAGUAUGGCGUUCAUUAUCACUGGACUAGUAUAUAUUUGUUUAGGGGCCAGCUGAAGGACGCCUCCGGGGUGCGGAAUUUCUCGCUACAUUGAAGACCUGUUGGUGACCCUCGGCUGUUGUUUUUUAUUUGGUCGGGUUGUUGUCUCUUUGACACAUUCCCCAUUUCCAUUCUCAAUUUUAAAGUUAACAUGUUUUUAAUAAAGACUAUUUUAUAAAAACAUUAGUUUAUGUGUUUUAAAUACAUACCUUUUUCACUGUAGUGAGCAAUGCGUUUCAACGUUCUUUUAGAAAUUGAAACGUAGGGUUAUGUUCCAAUGACCCACCGAUGUAAAAGUGAGGAAUCAGAUAAUUCAGAAGUUAUAUUGACACAAUAAGCUCGUGAACAUAUUAAGUUAAGGUACUUCAUGAUAGCUUUUUUACUUUAAAACAAUUAUGAUAUCUUUAAUCGAAUUUUGUGUUUGAGCUUUUGAUUUUUCUAUUUGAUUAGGGAUUUUCUGUUUUGAAUUUUCUACGGUGUUCCGUAUUUUUGUGAUUUUACUUUUUAUUAUUAUUUUUUCAGGAUGAAAGAAGAUUACCUGGCUUUGUAUGUGUCUAUCUCUUGCCUAACACUAUCUAUAUGAAGCGAUGACGAGUAUGGUGGUUUCGUUCUAUGGAUAAAAGAAAAAGUCGAAUAACAAGGACACCAACUAGUUUUUAAAGCACUUCUACAAUUCAAAAGCUUAUGAAAAAGAAUUCUGUGCUUCCGGAAUUGAACUUUUCAAACUCUUCAGAAAUGAAAAUAUUUCGAAAAGAGAUACUAGUACACUAUAUGGUGUUUAUCUUUCUUAGAUGAUGUGAUAACAAAAUAAAUGCUUGUGUUGAUUUCUAAUAAGCGUCUAUAGAUCUUAAUGAUUUUCCUUUAUUUUUAUUGUAUUGUUUUUGAAGUUUUGAAGUGAUUUUUGUCGUAAUUUCGUCACAAAUUUCCUCCUAAUCUUUAAACUAUCAUGCAAACUAUUUUAUGAAUAUUAUUUUCGUACUUGAUUGUUCAAAACCAACAUUUGCUUUUGAAUAACUUCCAAAAUUAUAAUAUGAUAGACAAACAGUGUAGAACGGAUCAGAUUUAGAAAUUGUAAUCUCAUAAAUAUAGUUUUAUUUUGAGAGGAAUGUAUGCAAAAAAAAAUUUCUUCAUGAAAACACCUUGUUUUUAAACUCACCUACUAAGAUGACAAACUCCAGGAAGCUAACAAGUACCUUGAACUUUGUUAUUGUUAAUGAUUGGACUAUUCUUGGAUAUAUUCCCAAAUUGAAAUAUGUUUAUCAAGUUGCCAGGUAUCUUCCAGCUGACCGAAUUUUAUUAUUAUUGAAUAUUUAUGAAUCCCGCCCCGCAAAAUUUGAUUUUAUGAAAAAACCUAGACACAUUUAUAGGAAAAUAUCGUUUAAUUGUUUCUAUUUAGAAACGUUAAGUAACAACAAUAAAAUUGAGAAAGGAAAUGGGGAAUGUGUCAAAGCGACAACAGCCCGACCUUAGAGAAUACAACAGCAUUCAUUGUUGUACUGUGUUAGUUAACAUUGCAUUAACAAGAUGUACAUAUUUCUGUUUUAUUAGUUCAUU